rnacentral:lncRNA from 1 species
UAGGAAAAUAAUUUUAAAAUCUAGCACCCACUCACCUCACAGUAACGGGACGUUACUUCGCUAUUAUUUUGCGCAUGUACUUAGCUAUUCUCUCUUCCUUUUCAUCUUUUUUCCUUUUAUGUCGCUGCUCUUUCUUUCCUUCUUCUUAUUUUUCUUUCUCUUCUUUCUUCUCUCUCCUUCUUCUCCCUCAUUGCUGCUCCUCUUCUUAUUUUUCUUCUUUUUCUUUCUCUUCUUUCUUCUCCCUCCUCGCCAUUCUCCCUCUCUCUUUCUUUUUCUUUUUCUUUCUCUUCUUUCUUCUCCCUCGUCACAGAGCUCCCUCUCUCUUUUUUCUUCUCUUUCUUUUUCUUUUUUCCUCUUUCUCUUUCCUUUUUCUGCUCUACCGUGCUCUUUCUCUCCUUUAUUCUUCUCUUUCUCUUUUUUUUUCUCUUUCUCCUCUCUUCUUUCUCUCCCUUGGGCCCCUCACUCUCUUCCAUCUCUUUCCUCUUCUCUUUCUUUUUCUCUUUCUCCUUUGUCUUUUCUCCCUUUUUUUGCAGCAUUAACUUUUCUUCUUUUCUCUCCUUUCUUCCUUCUCCAUUUUGGCCUACCCCCUACUCCUUUCUUCAUCUCUUUGUCUUUUCUUUGUGAGUGGGGCGUCACAGGAUAGUUUUGCUCAUGCCUCUUAAUUUAUCAUAAGGCAUAAGCCAUAACUCAUCGGUGUUGCAUCAACACACCACCCAAACUAAUUUGUGAUGCAUCAUAAUGCACAACAUAGCCUUCGAAUCCACACAAAAGGCUCAACAUGAGUGUAGAAGUGAAACAAGCUUUAAGUCUUAAAAUACUUACCUUGUAGGCAUUAAACAAAUCAAAUUUAAUUCCCUUUUGAGUUAAUUUUGUCAAGGAGAUGCUAUCUUGGAGAAAUCUUAAACAAAGCGUUUGUAAUAAUUGGUUAAUCCCAAAAAACUUCGAAUUUCCAUUAUAGACAAAGGCUUUAGCCAAUUCUCCAUAGCCUCUAUCUUACUCAUAUCAACUUGUACCCCUUGCUCAGAUACAACGUCUCCCAAGAAACUAACUUAACCAAAAUUCGCACUUCGCAAAUGUAGCAUAUAACCGAUACUCUUUAAGAAUUUAAAGCACAAUUCUCAAGUUUUCUGCAUGUUCCUCCAGGCUCCUUGAAUACAUCAAAAUCUCAUCUAUGAAUAUGACUACAAAUUUGUCCAAAUAUGCCCCAAAACUUUAUUCAUCAAAUCCAUAACGUUGUAAGGACAUUAAUUAGUCCAAAUGACAUCACUAGGAAUUCGUAGUGCCCAUAUCUUUUACGAAACAUUGUCUUAGGUAUAUCACUCUCAUGAAUUAUCAAUUGAUGAUACCCAGAACAUAAAUCAAUCCUUAAAAAGCAUAUCGCACCUUAUAAUUGAUCAAACAAAUCAUAUAUUCUUGGGAGUGGAUAUUUAUUCUUAAUUGUAACUUUAUUGAAUUGUUAGUAGCCAAUACACAAUCUGAGGCUCCAUCUUUCUUUUUCAACAAUAGCAUCGGAGUUCCCCAAGGCAAAACAUUUUGGCAAAUAAAGCCCUUAUUCAACAAAUCAUUUAAUUGCUCUUUGAGCUUUCUUAGCUCAGUCGGUGCCAUUCGAUACGAAGGUAUAGAAAUAUGCCUCGUAUCCGAUACUAAGUCAAUGCAAAAUUCAAUCUCCCUUUUGAGAGGUAACCCAAGUAGUUCCUCUGAAAAGAUUUUAAAAGUCACAGCCCAAAUCCUAAGCCAUCACCGACGCAUGGGCUCAAUGGGCAUAGCCCACUAAGCCCAAGCAAAUCUCUUUAUGAGAUCCUAUUCCUCAUUCCAUCCAUCAUCUUGAAAACCAUGUGUUGUAAUUCUCAACGAUGAAUGUUUCAGUAAUAUUAUAUAGCAACCGAAUAUUCAUAUUUGUAUUAUCUCAAAGUACUAUCAUUCAUUGUCAUCUCAUAUGGGGCAUCAUCAUCAAUCCAACAUAUACAUACUUCAUUUAUAACAUGACUCCUAGUAGUUUAUAUUACAUAUACCUGCAGACAAACAAAAGACUCUCAACCAUCAGCGGAGUGACUUUAAGUGAAGGUACCGUUACUGAGAUGCCAUAGUACCUACAAAAAGACGAGCAUACAUGGACACUCAAUCUAGGUCUCAACUGCUUCUGAAUCUGAAAACAUGAAGUUUAAAAGAGUGAGUAUAAAACUCAGUGAGUGAACAUAAGAAGGGAACAAGCAAUCAACAAAGAGAACUAAAAAAUCAUGAUGCACUUGUUUCGAAAACAAUUCAAUUGAUUUAAUUUCUUACUAAAAACCCCUCAUUUCAAACUUUGAUUAAUAACCUCAUAGUGUUUCAAAAACCCAUGAUCAAUCCAUGAAGUUAAAUGGGUGAAAAAUAUGUCAAAAUCAAGCAAGGUAGCAAGCAUGACAGCAAGUUUCUUGCUAUAGUGAGAAAAAUUCUUGAUUUGCAUAUGUUUUGAUUUUUCAAGCAUAUCUCCCACUAGAGAAGUCCAAUUGACAUGAUUUUUUGACCAUUACAAAGCUAAGAGGCUAUGCUACAACUUUUAUGUUUACCACUUUUCUCAGUUCUGACUAGAAGGUGGUCAAAAUUCAUGUCAAAUUAAGGGUACUACAUUAGAAUUUUUGGAACUACUCGAGAGUUUCUCGCUACAGCGAGAAUCAAGCCAGUGCAACCCCCCUCCAACCUGAGAGUUUCUCGCUACAGCAAAAAUAAAUCUCGCUACAGUGAGAAAUAAAGCAACUUAGUUAAAAAGGGUCUUGUUACAUUAAAAGCCAUUUUCUUGUUGAAAUGAAAAGCAAUUUGAGAGCAAUUAACAAUACCAACAUACAACACAAUCAUAAUUAUUUUCAUAAACUUUCUAUAACAUAUAUAUAUUUGUAUAUACAUACAUCAUCAUGCAUACCAUCCUACCACACUCAGCUCAAUGCAAUAUCAUCAUCAUGUGUGCACUCCCUACUCACACACUUCAACAUCAUCACGUGUGCACUCCUUACUCGCACACUCUAACAUCAUCAUGUGUGCACUUCACUCCCUACUCGCACACUUCAACAUCAUCAUGUGUGCACUCCCUACUUUCACACUUCAACAUCAUCACACAACAUUAUUCAUCAAUGCAAAACAUAUAUUCAUAUAUAUACAUGCCAACAUAAUAUAGGAGCACAUGGAUUUAUCUUUUUACACAUUUCACAUUUUCACAACAUCAAAACACUUUAUCAAGGACUUGUUCCCCGGCACACAUUUUGUAACGACCCCCUCUUUGGUCGCUACCGGCGUCCGAGACUUUCAAAGAAUUUUCACUAAGUCCCGAACAAGCCUCAUUUAAAACUUUUGCUAGAUUCAUUAAAUGCAUAUAAUCACAUGCGUAAACAAAUACAUAAAAAUUAAACUACUAUCUACUCCAUUCAAAAUAAUAACAAUCCACGUUUAUGAGUUGACAACAUUUUUCAACAUCUAGUAAAUUUCGUUCUGACAUAACAUUAAACAGUGGAGAGACUCAGAACGAGGCUAGGAGAUGCCUUUACCUACUCUGUGGUGGUCCGUAUACACUAAUGGUUACAUGUUAGACUGAUUUCUCUCUUCAAAAAGGGAAAAUAAAAGGGGUGCGAGUCUCACAGACUUAGUGAUAAUCAUCGACCCCGUGAGCAGGCGAAGAAGGGAAACAACAUAAAGGUGGAAUGUUUAUAAACUCAGGAGUAAGAGUAGAAAAUAUAUUCCAUAAAAAUGAGAGAUUUUGUUUUAUACCUUGCAAUUCAUAAAAAAAUAAUAAUUCCCAAGUAAACAUGUAUGAAAACAGUUGUAUUUAGGAUGCUAGAAAAUAUUUCAACCCCGACAUCUAGUCAACAUUUAAUUCAAUGGCAAGUGAAAAAUAAAAAUUCUCAAAUAUAUAAAAACGAAUUAAUUGAUCACCAAUGAAUAAGUAAAUUUCACUUGCCAUUAAAUAAAUAAAAAUUUUCAAGUAUUAAUGCCAUGCAUAGUGAAAUAAAAAUCUACAAGUGAGCAUCGUCCUCGGGUAGGUUUACUCUAGCCCUUAGGUUUACUCUCUCAGACAUCAUCACUUACUCGUGGGAAUUGCCCAUGCUACCAGAUGAAUCGGGGCUUUAGGUCCCCCUCUUUACCUACUCGUGGAAACUACCAAUGCCACUAAAUAUAAAUCAAGGCUUCAGGUCCCCUUUUACCUACUCGUGGAAACUACCCAUGCCACCAAAUAUAAAUCAAGACUUCAAGUCCCCCUUUUUACCAUCAAAUACCGAUAAUCAACAAUUUUUACUUUAUGCAUAAAGACCACACUUAAAUUGGUGUGGUAACUGGUCCUACCCAGAGUAUCUCAAUCACGUUAAAAUAAAAUCGUUGCAAUUUAAUGCAUUAGCAAAACAUCAUAGUUUGUAAACAAUAUAAUCACAAAUCAAUGUUGUGCAUAUUUUAUUUCAAAACAUGGUAUAUUUACCAAAUCAGCGUGCUAAUUGAAAUAAGUAAUUUAUCAUCAACUUCUAUGAAUCAAAACAAAGGCCAUUGGCCUAAACAUGUCACAAACUUGCAAGGUAUAAUUUUGAGGAGAAAGCCAGUCAAAGGUUUAUUUCCCCGUAUUUAAAACAUGUAGAUAUAUAUAUUUAUAUAUAUUUUAAAGAAAAACAGAUUAAAAAUCUUUGUUACAAACACAAACAACCUAAAGCUUUCUACCAACUCAUGUUGUCCACAAUUUCAUCAACUAUCAAAUAUAACAUCUAUAUUAUAUUAUAGGGACAUAGUUUUGAAAUUUAGCAUCCACUCACCUCACAAUAGCGAGACGCUACUUUGCUAUUAUUUCACACGUGUACUUAGAUAUUCUCUCUUCCUUUUCAUUUUUUUUUUCUUCUAUGUCGUUGCUCCUUCUCUCAUUUUUCUUCUUUUUUCUUUUUCUUCUUUCUUCUUUUUCCUUCUUCUCCUCGUCACUGCUCUUUCUCUCCUUCUUCUUCUUUUUCUUUCUCUUCUUUCUUCCCUCUUUUUCUUCUCCUCUGUCGCUGCUCUUUCUCUCCUUCUUUUUUUUUUCUUUCUCUUCUUUCUUCCAUCUCUUUUUUCUCCCUUGUCGCAGUGCUCCCUCUCUCUUUCUCUUUUUUUUUCUUUCUCUUCUUUUUCCCUUCUUUUUCUUCUCCCUCGUCGCCGUGCUCCCUCUCUCCUUUUUUUCUAUUUCUCUUUCUUUUUCCUCUCUCCUUUCUCUCCCUCAAGCCCUCCACUCUUUUCCUUCUCUUUCCUCUUCUCUUUCUUCUUCUCUUUUUCUUUCUUUUUCUUCUUUUUUGGCAGGUUGACUUUUCUUCUUCUCUCUCCUUUCUCCCUUUUCCUUGUUGGUCGGCCCUCCUUUUUCUUCUCCUCUUUCCUUUCUUUUCUCUUCUCUUUUGUCUUUUAUGAGUGGGGCAUCACACAUUUUUUAAAGAAAGGUUGGAUAAAAUCAUUCAAAUGUUUCAUCCAAAUACAUUUACAUUUCCCAAAGUAAUUUUGAAAUGCAAGUUCACUCAUCGAUAUUUGUUAAAUCUUUAUCCAACUUCAACUCGACUAUUACUCCAAAUGAAGAUGUGAGGUCUUGUUGGAACCUAUCACACACCAACAUUACAACCAACCCAAUUUGCAUAAAUACAAUUCUAAAAGCUAUUUCUUAAAUCAAGUUCCACUAGUCAUCCCUAACUAGCUUCCAACUAUUAUUAAAUGGCUAUCUAUUCUCUCUACUCUAGUAACACUAGAAAUAAAUAAACAAUCUUCAAUAAUAAAACAACUCACAACUCCAAUUACUAGCCAUUAUCAAUAACCUAAAAUCAAUCCUCAUUCAUUACUCACCUUGGUAGAUUUGUAGUUGAAUUCCUUCUCAAGAAUGCUCAAGCUAUCAUGGAAAGUCUCUCUCUCUCUAAAAUGUCCAACUAGUGAGAGAAAGUGUUGAGGAAAGAUUUUUUAGGGUUUUAAGGUGAGAGUGUGACAGAGCACAAAAGGUUCUAUGAAAAAAUGCUCAAAAGCAAGAAAAUUGAAACUAGAGAGAGAGAGAGUUAUGGAAGCUUUAAGGGAGGCUUCCAUGGAAGAUGAAGAAACGUGAGAUGAGGAAGAGGAAAGGAAGAAGAAGCUGCUGGAAAAAUGAGGAAGUUGUUGGAGAAAUGAGAUAUUUAUAGCCUAAGCUUAUCCAAACUUCACUUAAAUUAUGACAAUGCCUUCAACAAGUUGGCUUUGUCUUCCUCCAAUCCUUUGUGCAAUAUUUUUACUCUUUUGACACUGAGAUAAAGUCCAUAAUAGUCUAGAAAUAUCGGGUUCACAAAAUUUUAAAAAUUUUGACUCGAGAAAAAAAUGACCAUUUUGCCCUUACCUUGGAAAUCACCAUUAUUUCUAUUUCCUUCGUCAUUUUAUCCUCAUUUUCAUCAUUCAAUUAUGCCUUAAGCCUACUUAGGCCUUAAUAAUGUUAGAAAACCCACUUCUAGAAGGUCAUUAAGAAAAUGACCAAACUACCCCUACUUUACAUCAUAGGGUUUACCUCCACUACAUGUCUGUGAAGGUCGAGGUCUCACAUUCUCCCCCACUAAAAGAAAUUCGAUCCCCAAAUUUGAAUCGAACUAUAAGAUAGUGCAUCUAUAUGCAUUAAAGAGGUAUGGAUACCUGUUUGCAACUCCUCUUCAGCCUUCCCCAUUACCUCUUCACUGGUGUGGUUUCACCAUAAUGCUUUCACUGAGGCUACAUCCUUUGAGCAGAGCUUUUGACUUGUCUAUCAAGAAUAGCAACUGGUUGCUCUUCAAAUGUUGAAUCAUUAUUAACAAAGUUAAGUUUCAUCUUUUAAAUCAACUCCUCCAAUUACUUGCAUUAGGGUAUUAUCAUUGUUUAUUCUCCAUCCAUGGCACUAGUGCUUCGUGGAAGUCUAACUCAACUAUGAUAUAACACUUCGUUAAUCCUUACAUCUUGAUCAUAUUAAUCCAUUUGUACGGCUCAACCACGAUGUAAAUUCCAAUUCCUUAAUAUCCCUUCUUUCUCUAUUGCACUUGAAUUCUCCUUUACUCACAUAGCUCAACUUCUAAUGGUAACUCUUAUCAUCGUGUCAUCUAUACAACUCAUUAAGCAUGUUAAAUUCAAAACUCCAAUCACCAUAAUUAAUUCUUCACUUUAAUUAAUCACAUAAUCAUCUCCAUAUAUAUAUAUAUAUAUAUGUAUGUAUGUAUGUAUAUACACAUUUAAGAAUCAUCAUCCAUCACUAUAUGUAGGAACCCUCAUCAAUUACUUUAAAGUAAAUUUCCUCUAUUUAUUCCAAUCCAUAACCUAGAUUCAUGAUCAUAUUCUCAUGUUUCCCUUUUUACUUUUCCAUUUCAUUCCCAUAGUUCAAGUUUAAUCCAUGAAUAUUAGGAUAUAAUCAACUCCAGAUUACCCUUUCGAAUGUUUAAAUCACCAUUUACUUUACAUCCUACCACUCAUCCUUGCGCCACAUUGUCAUAAACAUGUCACAAUCACUAAUUAUCAUUUUAAUCAAGUUACCCUCCAAUAUCCAUGUAUGCCUUACUAUUUUGUUGAUCUUUCAAGUUUAUCUUUACUUGAUCUUUACAUUUAUGCUAUACCACAAUCCUUAAAAGUCUUCUUUACUUCUUAAUUGUCUUCUUAACUUCCAACAUAUAUGUGAUAUUCUUAUGUCAUCUCGACAUUACUUAGUCCUAAUUCAUAUUCUUGUAUCCUGACUCUAAAUCAUGGCUUAUUACCAAAAUCUUUACUUGUACAUGCUUGCUUGAAGUAUCAAAUCAUCAUCUCUUUCCCAAGUAGAUCUCUAAGAAUCCCGUUGUGUACUACUAUUUCCUCACCAAGGGUAAUGUUGAUUAACUAGAGCAUAUGCCAUUAUUCACUAAGCAUUUAAAGCAUAGUUCAAUCCUUGCUUUCCUUUAACAGGUACUCUACUUUGAUAAUUACUCAAAAUGAAAUAACACAUGUGAGGGAAACUUUUUUUUUUUACCAUUGUAUACUUCGCCUCAAACCAACAUUUCCAAUCAUUCUUAGACUUGCAGCAUACCUUUAUACUACACGACAUAUCAAUCACGAGCACUAACGUCACUAUAUAACUGUUAGGUCCUUAAGCUUUAAUGUGUUCACAUUGUGAGAACUCUUUCGAAUUAUUUCACCAAAGUAUUCAUAAAGUGGAUACAAGCCCAUAACUUAUGGUUCAAUAUCUAAAAUAGUGAACACUAUCCCAUCAUUAAAGUUCUAUCCUUAUCUAUUAAUCAUAACUCCUUUGCACAUUUACUUAUACAUUGCUUGGUUGCUCACGAGCCUAUAUGGCCAUGCCAUUUCGAUCUUUUAUGGCAAAUUAACUAAUAUAUUCUCUUAUGCUUUUCAAUACACUUCUGAAACACUUAAACACAUCCUUUCGUGGAAUUCAGUUGAGGACUUAAACAAUCAAAAGCUUACCUUCAAAACCACUCAUAACUUUAAUAAUCCAAUGUAUGCUCAAUGACAUUCCACCUCAUCGAUUCCAACGGACAUUAUUUUCAAAUCUCCCAAGGCGUCGUUGUCCUUAAUUUAGACCACACAACUAUCUUAGUAUAUUUGCAUGAAUUAUUCUUAAGCUUCUUAUGUUCAUCAUAGCAACAUCCAUAUUUCUCCCAUUAUUUACCUUGCUUUUCAUUCACUCUUUCCUAGCCCUUAAUAAAGCUUAAUCUCUUGUCUCAUUUACCUACAUGUCCAUAUAUAAGGCAAUAAAGAAACUUUCCAAUUCAUUCAUAUAAAUACUUUCCAAAACCUUAAAACUCCAAUUAACGAAGUUAACAUCAAGUCUAAAUGACCAUAAUUCAGUGCGUAAGUUCAGCUUCACGCCCUUCACAUUUUAUUCAUACAUUCUAGACAUGAGGUGCUCCUAGCACUGUGGCGCGGUGGUUGCUGGGGUUUACUUAAUCAAUGCUAUUCGUUUACAUUUAAGGUUACUACAUUGAUCAUCCUCGACCGUUUGGUUUUCCUCCAAGCUUACAUCACACUUUCCAUAGCCAUUUAUAUUCUCGUUGGUUUAUCACAUAUAAUAGGCUAAACCAAUAUUUUCAAAUUCAACUCAUCCCUUAACACUUGUCACCAAUCAAUAAAUCCCACCUUAGGACAUCUUUCCAUAUUGUACAAUGAAUUCACCAUGUACAUAUAACACCACACACAUAAUUAUUCAUUGCUUCUAGUGUUCCACAAUUCCUUAGCAUUCGCAACUAGUUGUUUCUCUUAUCUUAUAACUUAAUUAGUUUAGCCACUUCAACUUAGUAUCAUCAUGAAUUUUGUCUAUCUUGAUCAUUCUACUUAUGCUCACAUCAUUACUUCAAAAUUCUAGAAUUUAUUCUUCCCCCAUUUUCAUUGUUAUUUUUAAUAGCGUAUAUCAUGUCAAUUUAGUAUCUUAUAAUACCACAUUUACAACCCACCAAGCAUAUUGUGUUCAAAUCUCAAGUCGCUAAGAACGAUUCUUUGUUUCCACCAAUGACAUGAGUAACUCCACAUAUACAUAUACACAUCCAUUUAAAUGUCAACAUCAUCCAUUUGAAUGUCUCUUGUCGCCACUAGAUAUCCUUGGUAAUCUUGGCCUGACCUUCGAGUAGUAGAUAGGACUGACAUAACUUCUAUAGAUACUGGAUUGCUAUGUUCGUAAAUCACAAAUGAAGGCUCCCUCGAGAACUUAAACUUUACUAACUUGUAGUUUCAAUCCAUCUUAGCAUAAUAAAACGCUAACCAAUCCAUUCGCAGAAUUACAUCAAAAUUAAAGGUCAACAAUAACACCAAGUCUGCUAAAGUGUCUUUGUUUUUGAUACGGACCAUACAAAACUUAUACACAUAUUCCACAAUAAAUACUUCCUUUAAAGGAGUAGUCACAAUCAAACGUUCUUCUAACCCACAAUAAAAUCUGCCUAACUUUGAUACUAAGUGGAGUGACACAAAUGAAUGUAUUGAUAUAAGAUCAAACAAGACUAAAGCUUUAGUACCACAAACAAAAAGUGUACUUGUGACUAUUGCAUACGAAGUCUGAACCUCUUGUGGUGUUAAAGCAAACAUUCUCACUUGGCCUCCAUUCAUAUUACCUUGUUGCGUUGGCCUUAUUGGCCUAUCUUGAGAUGAUGUGGCUAUACCCUUACCUUUAUCACCUUUGAUAUUCCUAGGGGGAGCUGCCACCCUAAGUGGCGUAGUUGCAACUGGCUACAUGAAACCACGAUUAGCUCUUAAUGAUUGCUUAAACCUCAGGCAAUCUCUCAUAUGAUGUCAAGAUUGAGCACAAACAAAACAUAACCCUACUACUUGAUGGCAUGAUCCACCAUGUGCCUUACCACAAAAAUUACAAAAAGCACCCCUUUGCUUGAGGCCCAAACUAAAGACUCCACUAGCCUGCUCUCAUUUAGCAUUAAGGCAAAAUGUAUUACUACCCUAACAGUCUACGCGUAUGAAUGGUCCUCCUUUAGCCUUGACGGCUUGUAGAAACUGGACUGUGAAUCACACUAGAAUCUCUUUAACCAUGUUGGCCUUAAUUCAAGUCUUCCAAACCCUUAUCUCUCUUUGUCAUAACCUCCCUCCUCAUUAUUUCAAUCGUCUUAGUUGAGUCUACCAUAGCAGAAUAGAAGGCAAACCUUUGAGUGGCAAUAACACGAAACAAUAGCUCAAUCUAUCUUUUAACAAAUCUUUUGAUUUGCUUUCUUUGGUAAGGACCGAGUAUGGAGCAUAUCAAGAUAAUUCGGUGAACCAAACAUCAUACUCUAUCACUAGCAUGCCUAGGGUUUGAACCAUUGUCUUAAACUCUUAUGCCUUUGCAUGUUUUACUUACUCAGGCAAAAACAGGUCUAAGAAAACUUAGGUAAACUCUUAUCAAGUAAUUGAAGUUGAACCUUGUCACAACCCAAAACCCGAGCCAUGACCGACGCAUGGGCCUAAUGGGCACAGCCCACUAAGCUUAAGCAAGCCUCUUUAUGAAAUCCUAUUCAUCAUUUCAUUACGUCACCAUUCCUAAACCACAAAUCUUGAUUUUCAACUAUGCGUAUUUCAGUAACAUACAUGGAAACUAAUAUUUAUAUUUGUAUUAACCCAAAAUAUUGUCAUUCAUUCAUUGCUAUCUCAUAAUGGCGUCAUCAAUCCAAAUAUACAUCUAUUGUUUGUAACCUAAAUCUUAUUUACAUCGAGUAUAUAUAUAUACAUACAAAAGACUUUUGACGACCAGCGGAGCGACCUUGGGUGAUGAUACUAUUACUGAAUGCCAAAAUACCUACCAAAGGGUGAACGCACAUGAAUGCCUCAAUUUAGGUCCCAACUGCCCUUGAGUUUGAAAACAUGAAGUUUAAAAGAGUGAGUACAAUCCCAAUGAGUGAACAUAAGAAGGGAACAAGUAAACGAUAAGGAAAAUUUUAUAAAACAUGAUGCACUUAUAGUAAAAACAACGCAAUUUAGUUUAAAUUCUAGUUAAAACCCCUCAUUUCAAACUUUGAUUAUUUAAUCCUUUAGUGUUGAAGGAUCCAUGAUCAACCAUGAAGUCGGAAAGAGUGAGAACUAUAGCAUAAUCCAAGCAAGACGAGCAUAACAACAUAACAGAGGGUUUCUCGCUGUAGCGAAAUUCGGACAAAGAAAAUUUUAGACCUCUUAAGAGUUUUUCGCUGCAGCGAGAAUGCAUUCACAUUGCAGCAAAAUUCAAAGCACAAAUUAAGUGAAUCACCUGAGAGUUUCUCAUUGCAACAAGAAUUAGGGCUGAUGAAAUUAGGGGGGGUUUUGCUACAUUGAAAAUUCGUCCUAUUGCAACGAAAAUCAAUUUGAAAUUAGUUAACAAUUUUCAAUACUCAACAUUUAAUACAAUCACAUCUUAUUUCUUUAUACUUUCUAUAGCAUAUAUAUUCAGUGUUAUAGUAUGCAUGAUCAUAUCUAUAGCAUAUAUAUAUAUAUAUAUAAGCAUAUAUACACCCACUAGUCAUUAACUCAUGUGCACUCCCACACCGCACAACAAACAUAUAUACAACCAUCGGUCAUCAGCUCAUGUGCACUCCCACACUGAACAUAGUUGGAAUCACACCACGUCAUCACCAGCAUGUGCCCUCCCACAUCAUACACACUCAGUUAUAAUUACCACACAAUAUUACUUAUCAAUACAUAUCAUAUAUCGAUAUAUAUUAUAAAUAUCAACAUAACAUAGGCGCACAUGGAUUCAUCCCAGUCAUAUUCCACAACGCAAAAACAUUUCAUCAAGGGCUUGUUCCCAUGCAUAUUUUAGAGAAAAGAUCAAUCAAAUAAAUCAAGUGAUUCAAUCAAGCUUGUAUGUACUUAUCCCAAAACAUUUUAAUGCGAGUUCACUCACCGUUUUUGUUAAUGCUUUGAUCGACUCUAACUGCGUCUAAUACUCUAGAUGGAGAUGUGGGGCUUCGUUGCAACCUAUCACACACCAUAGCAUCACACCAACCUAAAUUGGCAUUAAUAAAAUUCUAAAAGCCAUUUCCUAAAUCAAGUUCUACUAGUUAUUCUUAACUAGCUUCCAAUUACCAUUAAAUGGCUAUUUAUUUUGUAAAACCUGACCUUAUAAAAUACUCGUCAUGAUAUACAAGUGAUGAUAGCAUGAUUGCAUGCUAGGAGAGUGCCGAAAAAUUUACAAAAGUCGGUAUUGUACCUAGAGGUACAACAAAGUUGAUUUAAUCCUCAAACUAGAUCAAAUAGGAAUUUUAAGGUGAGAUUAAGAGCUUCACAGUCCAUGGAUGACUCAAAAUGGUAAUUCGGAGUUUGAGGAUAAAUUUGGAGUCAAACCGGAAUUUUCACUAUCUAGAGGCAAAAUGAUCAUUUGCCACCUUGGGACAAAGUGGGAAUUUUAGAAAAGAUUUUUUUGGCCCCAUUUGACUUAUUGGAGUAUGAUUUGAGGUUUAGAAGCGAAAAAUUUUAAUUUCGGUAUAAUUUGAAGUAUAGGGGUAAAAUGGUAAUUUUGCCACCUUAGAGGCAAAAUUAUAAUUUUCCACCACCAGGACAUUUAUCCAGCAUAUGGUCUUCCUUUAUCCUCAUUUUUUACCUUUGACUAAUCAUGUGGUGGAGAUAAAAAGUUUAAAUUUUUAAAGUUUUAAAAAUGGACCAAUAAGAAAAUGCCAUGUGUCAAGCUUAGGAUAUUUUAUUAUUUAACUUAAAAAUCAGCAUAAAUCAGCCCAUUACCCUCCAAAUAUUCGGCCAAGCAAGGAAGAGAGGGAAAGAAAGGAAGAACAAACCCUAGGUGUGGAAUUUCAAAAGAAAAAGUGUGGAAAAUCAAGGAAAACAAGUGAAAAAUGUAGGAUUUUUCGACUUAAGCUUGAAAUCUAUUUUCCUUAAGCAUUUCUCCUCAUUUUCCAUGCUUAAAUUACAUGUUUUUAUGAUGAAUUGUUGGCUGAUCAAAAUGGGUAUGGAGAGAGAAUGAAGUUAGAUUAAUUUGAUUUUAAGUUAUGUUAGUGUUUUUAGUUAGUUUAGCAUAUUUAGAAACAAAACAACAAGAAAAGAAUUCAUUUUCCUCCAUUACCAUUAUUGGACGAAUUUUGUAAGGGCAUAUUGGCUGCUGAUCUUGAUGUUUAUUUGACGAAUUAUGAUGAAUAAUGAUGAAUUAUGAGCCUAGAAACAUAAUGGGAAUUUUCAGAGCAAAAAUACGAAUUUUUACCCACUAGGGGUAUUUUCGUAAUUUGUUAUCGGGACUGAUAAUUUGCACCACACUAAAGGACAUUAAGUCAAUUUGGGUGCAAUUAAGGUAUAGAAACUUAAACAAAUUAAUUUGGAGUUUAAACGGACGCGUAUAUCAAUUUAUCGGGUAAAAGACCGAAAUAGGCUAACACCACGUUUAGGUAAAAUUUAGACAUUUUUGCAUUCCAUAUCAUGCAUUAGUAGUCUAAAUUAGUUUAAUUUCAAUUUAGUACCAAUGUAGUGAGUUUCUCAAUUUUGUACUGUGUCAAGGUGGCGAGUCCUCCAACAAAAGUAAGGGAAUUGCAUCCGAGGACCAGUAGUCUGAGUAUUUCGAGAAUCGGCACUCUAAACAUUGUGAGUAAACUUAUUAUCAUUUUAAUUAUCUAGGGUGAUUUUUAGAUGAUUUCAUUAAUUCUAUGGAAAAAUGGAAUUAAAAAGGUAAAUUUUCAUGUUUUAUGAAUAAAGGUGUUUUAAUGAAAUUAAUUUAUAAAUUGUUUUGAAAUUAAUAGUGAUUUUGAAAAAAAUAGAGUACACAGAGACUGUUAAUUGUGGCAAUUUGAUUGUUUAAAUUGAUUGGCUUAUGAUAAAUCGGGCAUGAUUGGCUAGUUGGCAAUUGUAUUGAAAUACGAAUUGUUUGGUUGCCUUGAAAGACUGCGAAUUACAAAAUGGCCAUAUCAUGUUAUUGAGUUUUAUUAUAUGGUGGAUUAUAUAUUAAUUAAUCACUGCAAUAGGGGGUUUCUGUAGAUCAGCCUUUUAGAGGGGCACAGUAAACCCCAUUAUAUUCUUACCUCGAACGGAGAGGCGCAUAAGGUAUCUAUUGGGGUAAAGCUUAGGGUUCACUUCACGCCAAACUACCACAUGAGGGGGAACUCAGCCAACGCCAAGGAACGGCUAUGUUUUCAAAACAAAAACAUGAUUUAUAUGAAAUGUGAAUUUUAAUAGCCUUGGCGGUCUUGGUAGGAUGCCUUGGCCAAGGUGUCCUUGAGAAUGAAUUUAUGGCACAAGCCUAGUUUUUAUGAAAUUCAUAAGCCUCUUCACGUAUUUUAAAUAAAAUGUAUUCUAAUGCUGUGAUCCAGUUUACGAUGAUUUACUUUAUUAUCUUCAUGUACUCAACUCUAGAUGUUUAUAAUGAUAUCUAUUUACUCAUUGGGAUUUUAUAAUCUCACUACCCUCCUUUUCACCCAUUUCAGGUUCAGUAUAUACUGUAGAUAGCUGAUCUCAUCGAGGACUACCGUUGGAUCUGCAUUUGCCAAACUGUAGCUUCACAGUCCUCUUUACUUUUGUUUAUUCGGGGGCCCUUUUGUUAUUGAAAAUUAAAUUAAAUAUUUUGACUUACUGUAUUACAGUAUGUAUAAAUUUAUUUAGCUUUUACGCUACAAAAAUUAUUUACAUAUAACUCUAUAAAUAUUGGUUUAUAAGAAAAUAAAAUAUUUUACUUAAUAUUUCUUUUAUUUUCUUAUUAUAUUCAAAUAACCAUAAUUUCGUUUUAAAUGAAGAUUUUAGUCUUUUAAACUCAUUUUGAAUAUGAAUUAUGUGUUUUGUACUUGUAUAUUAUAUUUUAGCUAGUAUCGAAAUUUUUGAAAAAAAUGAUCAAAAUACCUCUGUGAGACAAAAAAAAUUAAUAUUUUAUUUGUUUUAAGUUGGAAACAGCUUAAAAUCUUUUAAAACACGAUAUUUGAUAAAUGGUUGCUCACAAGGGAAAUGAGAAACUGAUAGUAAAGCCUUGCGGGGUUUCGGGUUGACAUUCUGAGCAAUGAGUGUCUAUUGGGACACCGCGACGGUUGUCACGGGCUCGAGGGGAGUACCGGGUCGUGACAAUUCGAUUGCUAUUAGAGCUUUUGGUUUUAAAGAUCAAAGUUUUUAGUUUUAAAGUGGUUUUAAAAAUUUACAAUAUCAGUGUGGCUUUGGAUUAAGUUAGGUUAGGUUGAAUAGAAUGCAUGCAUUUGCAUAUAGAGCCUAAGGUUGCCUAAACUUGCUCGUAUUCUUUUAUAGAUUAUAAUGCCUCAUCGACGCGGAUGCCCACCUUUCACUAGAUAGGUUGGGAGGGGAAGAGGUCGUUCCCAACGUCGUCAGCUAAAUGCAGUAGAGGAGGAAUCGGCUACAUCUACCAUUCGGGCAUCACCUGCUACUGCUGCAGCACCGGCUCCUCCACAUCCUCCGCCACCUACUAGUACUCCUACCAUGUCUCCUGAGGCAGUCCAAGCAUUGGCAGCUUUCUUUAUCGCUAUUGCUGGCCAAGCUCAAGCUGGUCAAGCCCUUCAUAUAGUACCACCAGUUGCUCCUUCAGUACCACCACCCCCACCUCCUAUUCCACCACCAGUGUCGAAUGUCUCUAUUGCUAAGAAGUGGAAGGAAGCUAGGCAACUUGGUUGUGUUUCUUUUACGAGUGAGUUGGAUCCAACCGUAGCCAAAGAUUGGAUUAAUCAGGUUUCGGAGACGUUCUCUGAUAUGAGGUUGGAUGAUGACUUGAAAUUGAUGGUGGCCAUGAGAUUACUAGAGAAGAGAGCUCGUACAUGGUGGAAUUCAGUAAAAUCUCGUUCCACUACUCCUCCGACCUGGUCAAACUUCUUAAGAGAAUUUGAUGGUCAGUAUUUCACUUAUUUUCAUCAGAAAGAAAAGAAAAGAGCAUUUCUGAGUUUGAACAAGGGAAUUUGACUGUAAAGGAGUACGAAGCUCAUUUUAACGAGCUGAUGUUAUAUGUGCCAGAUCUAGUGAAAUUUGAGUAGGAUCAGGUCAAUUAUUUCGAGGAAGGGCUCCGUAAUGAGAUUAGAGAGCGGAUAAUAGUGACUAGUAAAGAGCCACAUAAGGAGGUCGUAUAGAUGGCUUUACGGGCUGAGAAGCUUGCGAUUGUGAAUAGAAAGAUUUAAAUCGAGUUUGCAAAAAGGAUAAAUCUAAGUGUAUCUUCCAGUCAGCCACCAAAAAGGGGCGAAGACUCAUCUGCUUCAAGGAGUACUACCUCUAUUUUAGUGACAUCUCCUCAACCUCCAUUUUCAUAGACACAGCAGAGGCCUUAGAGAUUCAGCAGAUCUGCAAUGACUAUUUCUUGGAAGAGCUCCAAAGGUUCUGAUAGAUGCAGAAGAUGUGGGAAGAAUCAUGUUGGGCCGUGUAGGGGACCAGUACGAUGUUAUCAUUGUGAUCAGCCGGGCCACAUUAAGAGUGAGUGCCCACAGCUAAGACGGGCUAUUGCAACUGCUCCAUCUCCAUCAGCUCGUACAGAUAUACAGAGGAGAGAUCCUUUUAGGUUACCACCGAGGUAGGGAGUGGCUAUACAGUCUGGUGUAGAGAGUAACACCUCGGCAUAUCCACCUUCGAGACCACAGACUCGUACUUCGACAAGAGUUUUUGCUGUGACGAAAGAUGAGGCGCGGGUCCAACUUGGAGCAGUGACAAGUAACAUGUCUUUAUUUGAUAAAGAUGCUUAUGUUUUGAUAGAUUCUGGCUCAUAUAGGUCUUAUGUGAGUAUGGCAUUUGCAUCAAUUGCUGAUAGAAACCUAUCACCAUUAAAGGAAGAAAUUGUAGUUCACAUCCCUUUAGGUGAAAAGCUAGUUAGAAACAAUUGUUAUAGAGAUUGUGGAGUAAUGGUUGGUGAGGAAGAAUUUAUGGGUGACUUGAUUCCUCUAGAGAUCCAAGAUUUUGAUUUGAUAUUGGGUAUGGACUGGUUAACUGCACAUCAGGCGAAUGUGGAUUGUUUUAGAAAAUAAGUUGUUCUUCAUAAUUCGAAGGGAGCAGAGAUUAUUUUUGCAGGGAAACGUUGAGUAUUACCGUCUUGUGUAAUCUCGGCCAUCAAAGCUUCGAAAUUGGUGCAGAAAGAGUAUCCAGCAUAUUUAGCACAUGUGAUCGAUACUUCAAAAGGGGAACCUAAAUUAGAGGAUGUCCCAAUAGUUAGUGAGUUUCCUGAUGUAUUUCCUGAUGAAUUACCGGGACUACCUCCUGAUUGAGAGCUCGAGUUCCCUAUUGAUUUACUUAUGGGUACCGCACCUAUUUCUAUUCCUCCAUAUAGAAUGGCUCUAACAGUGUUGAAGGAACUGAAAGUCUAGUUGCAAGAUUUGGUGGAUAAAGGUUUCAUUCGCCCUAGCAUUUCCCCUUAGGGAGCACCAGUCCUAUUUGUAAAGAAGAAGGAUGGCACUCUUCGAUUAUGUAUCGAUUACCCUUUACCCCGGAUAGAUGAUCUUUUUGAUCAAUUACGAGAUGCUAUGGUGUUUUCAAAGAUUGAUUUGAGGUCUGGGUAUUAUCAGUUGAAGAUUAAGGAGCAGGAUGUACCCAAGACUGUCUUUAGGACGUGUUAUGGGCAUUAUGAGUUUCUGGUGAUGCCGUUUGGUUUGACUAAUGCCUCGACAGUUUUUAUGGAUCUUAUGAACAGGGUGUUCCAUCCAUACUUGGAUAAGUUUGUGAUAGUGUUCAUAGAUGACAUCCUGGUUUAUUCGAAGAAUGAUGAUGAACAUGCUGCCCAUUUGCGCAUUGUGUUGCAAACUUUGUGUGAGAGACAACUCUAUGCUAAGUUUUCUAAAUGUGAGUUCUGGUUAAAGGAAGUGGUUUUCUUGGGACAUGUGGUGUCCGGAGCUAGAAUUUAUGUCGAUCCCAAGAAGAUCGAGGCAUUCUUACAAUGGGAGCAACCAAGAACGGUAGCAAAUAUUCGUAGUUUUCUUGGCUUAGCCAAUUAUUAUCGGAGAUUUGUUCGGGGAUUUUCAUUGAUAGCAGCUCUUUUGACUCGUUUGACUCGUAAAGGAGUUAAGUUUGAGUGGGAUGAUGUUUGUGAGAAUCGAUUUUAAGAGCUAAAGAACCGGUUAACCUCCGCUCCCGUUUUAACACUUCCUGUUAAUGGAAAAGAAUUUGUGGUACACUGUGAUGCAUCUAAGUUAGGAUUAGGGUGUGUGUUGAUGCAGGAUGAGAAGGUGAUAGCUUAUGCUUCCCUGCAGUUGAAGAAGCACGAGACAAAUUACCCUACUCAUGACUUAGAGUUAGCAGUAGUAGUCUUCGCAUUGAAGAUUUGGAGACAUUAUUUAUAUGGUGAGGGUUGUCAGAUUUUUACUGAUCAUAAAAGCUUGAAAUAAUUGCUCACCCAGAAAGAGCUUAAUUUGAGACAGAGACGAUGGUUGAAGUUGAUUAAGGAUUAUGACUUGGUGAUUAAUUAUCAUCCGGGAAAGGCAAAUGUUGUGGCAGAUGCUUUAAGUUGUAAAUCCUCAUCUUCAUUAGCAGUACUUCAGAGUUCUUAUUUUUCGAUAUUACUUGAGAUGAAAUCUCUAGGGAUCCAGUUGAAUAAUGGUGAGGAUGGAACCCUACUUGCUAGUUUUGUUGUGAGACCUUCAUUAUUGAAUCAAAUCAGAGAAUUGCAGAAAUCUGAUGAUUUGUUGAAACGGGAAGUUCAAAAGCUGCAAGAUGGAUAAACUAGUGAGUUUAGACUCAACGAUGAUGGUACUUUGAUGCUUAGAGAUCGAAUUUGUGUCCCUAAGGAUGAUCAAUUGAAACGAGCUAUUCUGGAGGAAGCUCAUUCUUCCGCCUACGCUUUACAUCCCGGAAGCACCAAGAUGUAUCGGACUAUUAAAGAAAGUUAUUCGUGGCCGGGUAUGAAAUGAGACAUAGCAGAGUUUGUAGUGAAAUGUCUCACAUGCCAACAGAUCAAGGCGGAGCAUCAAAAUUUGUCAGGUACUCUUCAGCCUUUACCGAUUCCUGAAUGGAAGUGGGAACAUGUGACUAUGGACUUUGUAUUGGGUUUGCCGCGAACACAAAGUGGGAAGGAUGCUAUUUGGGUGAUUGUGGAUAGAUUGACUAAGUCCGCCCAUUUCUUGGCUAUCCAUAGCAUGUAUUCUAUUGAGAGGCUGGCAAGACUUUAUAUAGAUGAGGUUGUGAGAUUACAUGGAGUUCCAGUUUCUAUUGUGUCAGAUCGAGACCCUCGGUUUACUUCUUGAUUUUGGUCGAAAUUUCAGGAAGCUCUUGGAACUAAAUUGAGAUUUAGUACUGCCUUUCAUCCGCAGACAAAUGGUCAAUCUGAGAGAACUAUUCAGACCUUUGAGGAUAUAUUACGAGCUUGUGUCAUUGACUUUGUUGGGAGUUGGGACAGACACUUGCCAUUAGUAGAGUUCGCGUAUAAUAAAAAUUUUCAGUCUAGUAUUGGGAUGGCACCAUACGAGGCUUUGUAUGGAAGGAAGUGCCGAACUCCACUCUGUUGGGAUGAAGUAGGUGAGAGGAAAUUGGUGAAUGUGGAAUUGAUUGAUCUGACAAAUGAUAAGGUCAAGGUUAUCCGAGAGCGGUUAAAAACAGCUCAAGAUAGGCAGAAGAAUUAUUUUGAUAGAUGAAGGAAAGAUUUGGAGUUUGAAGUUGACGAUAAAGUUUUUCUUAAGGUUUCUCCUUGGAAAGGUAAUAAUUUAAAAAUUUUGAAGUAUUAAAUCUUAUUUGAUUAAACUGUUGUGAUAAUUUAUGGUAUUUAUUGGAUAAUGGAAGGUGUAAUUCGAUUCGCGAAAAGGGGAAAGCUUAAUUUGAGAUACAUUGGACCUUUUCGUAUUAUUGAAAGGAUUGGGCCAGUGGCUUACAGACUUGAAUUACCCCCGGAGUUAGAUCGGAUUCAUAAUGUCUUCCAUGUCUCGAUGUUGAAAAAGUAUGUUCCCGAUCCUUCCCAUAUUCUAGAGACACCUCCAAUUGAGUUGCAUGAAGAUUUGAAGUUCGAGGUGCAGCCGGUACGUAUUCUAGAUUGAAAGGAUCGAGUGAUGAGGAACAAGAGCAUUCCAAUGGUGAAAGUAUUGUGGAAAAAUGCUCGAAUGGAAGAAAUGACGUGGGAAGUCGAGCACCAGAUGAGGAACCAAUAUCCACAUCUUUUCUUGGAAUCCGGUAAGUGAAAUUUUGAGGUCAAAAUUUUAUUUUAAGGGGGGUAAUGUUGUAAAGCCUGACCUUAUAAAAUACUCGUCAUGACAUACAUGUGAUGAUAGCAUGAUUGCAUGCUAAGAGAGUCCCGAAAAAUUCACAAAAGUCAGUAUUGUACCUAGAGGUANNNNNNNNNNNNNNNNNNNNNNNNNNNNNNNNNNNNNNNNNNNNNNNNNNNNNNNNNNNNNNNNNNNNNNNNNNNNNNNNNNNNNNNNNNNNNNNNNNNNNNNNNNNNNNNNNNNNNNNNNNNNNNNNNNNNNNNNNNNNNNNNNNNNNNNNNNNNNNNNNNNNNNNNNNNNNNNNNNNNNNNNNNNNNNNNNNNNNNNNNNNNNNNNNNNNNNNNNNNNNNNNNNNNNNNNNNNNNNNNNNNNNNNNNNNNNNNNNNNNNNNNNNNNNNNNNNNNNNNNNNNNNNNNNNNNNNNNNNNNNNNNNNNNNNNNNNNNNNNNNNNNNNNNNNNNNNNNNNNNNNNNNNNNNNNNNNNNNNNNNNNNNNNNNNNNNNNNNNNNNNNNNNNNNNNNNNNNNNNNNNNNNNNNNNNNNNNNNNNNNNNNNNNNNNNNNNNNNNNNNNNNNNNNNNNNNNNNNNNNNNNNNNNNNNNNNNNNNNNNNNNNNNNNNNNNNNNNNNNNNNNNNNNNNNNNNNNNNNNNNNNNNNNNNNNNNNNNNNNNNNNNNNNNNNNNNNNNNNNNNNNNNNNNNNNNNNNNNNNNNNNNNNNNNNNNNNNNNNNNNNNNNNNNNNGUGAGGAAUUUCAAGAGAAAAAGUGUGGAAAAUCAAGGAAAACAAGUGAAAAAUGUGAGAUUUUUCAACUUAAGCUUGAAAUCUAUUUUCCUUAAGCAUUUCUCCUUAUUUUCCAUGCUUAAAUUACAUGUUUUUAUGAUGAAUUAUUGGCUGAUCAAAAUGGGUAUGGAGAGAGAGAGAAUGAAGUUAGAUUAAUUUGAUUUUAAGUUAUGUUAGUGUUUUUAGUUAGUUUAGCAUAUUUAUAAACAAAACAACAAGAAAAGAAUUCAUUUUCCUCCAUUACCAUUAUUGGCCGAAUUUUGUAGGGGCAUAUUGGCUGCUGAUCUUGAUGUUUAUUUGACGAAUUAUGAUGAAUAAUGAUGAAUUAUGAGCCUAGAAACAUAAUGGGAAUUUUCGGAGCAAAAAUACGAAUUUUUACCCCCUAGCGGUAUUUUCGUAAUUUGUUAUCGAGACUGAUAAUUUGCACCACACUGAGGAACAUUAAGUCAAUUUGGGUGCAAUUGAGGUAUAGAAACUGAAAAAAAUUAAUUUGGAGUUUAAACGGACGCGUAUAUCGAUUUAUUGGGUAAAAGACCGAAAUAGGCUAACACCACGUUUAGGCAAAAUUUAGAUAUUUUUGCAUUCCAUAUCAUGCAUUAGUAGUCUAAAUUAGUUUAAUUUCAAUAUAGUACCAAUGUAGUGAGUUUCUCAAUUUUGUACUGUGUCAAGGUGGCCAGUCCUCCGAUAAAGGUAAGGGAAUUGCAUCCGAGGACAAGUAGUUUGAGUAUUUCGAGAAUCGGCACUCUAAACAUUAUGAGUAAACUUAUUAUCAUUUUAAUUAUCUAGGGUAAUUUUUAGAUGAUUUCAUUAAUUCUAUGAAAAAAUAGAUUUAAAAUGGUAAAUUUUCAUGUUUUAUGAAUAAAGGUGUUUUAAUGAAAUUAAUUUAUAAAUUGUUUUGAAAUUAAUAGUGAUUUUGAAAAAAAUAGAGUAUACGGAGACUGUUAAUUGUGGCAAUUUGAUUGUUUAAAUUGAUUGGUUUAUGAUAAAUCGGGCAUGAUUGGCUAGUUGACAAUUGUAUUAAAAUACGAAUUGUUUGGUUGCCUUGAAAGACUGCGAAUUACAAAAUGGCCAUAUCAUGUUAUUGAGUUUUAUUGUAUGGUAGAUUAUAUAUUAAUUAAUCACUGCAGUAGGAGGUUUCUGUGGACCAACCUUUUAGAGGGGCACAGUAAAGCCCAUUAUAUUCUUACCUCGAACGGAGAGGCGCAUAGGGUAUCUCCUGGGGUAAAGCUUAGGGUUCACUUCACGUCAAACCACCACGUGAGUGGGAACUCAACCAACGCCAGGGAACGACUAUGUUUUCAAAACAAAAAUAUAAUUUAUAUGAAAUGUGAAUUUUAAUAGCCUUGGUAGUCUUGGUAGGAUGCCUCAGCCAAGGUGUCCUUGAGAAUGGAUUUAUGGCACAAGCCUAGUUUUUAUGAAAUUCAUAAGCCUCUUCACGUAUUUUAAAUAAAAUGUAUUCUAAUGCUGUGACCCAAUUUACGAUGAUUUACUUUAUUGUCUCCAUGUACUCAACUCUAGAUGUUUAUGAUGAUGUCUGUUUACUCAUUGAGAUUUUAUAAUCUCACCACCCUCCUUUUCACCCAUUUCAGGUUCAGUAUAGACUGUAGAUAGCUUAUCUCAUCGAGGACUACCGUUGGAUCUACAUUUUCCAAACCGUAGGUUCACAGUCCUCUUUACUUUUGUUUAUUCGGGGGCCCUCUUGUUAUCGUAAAUUAAAUUAAAUAUUUUGGCUUAAUGUAUUACAGUAUGUAUAAAUUUAUUUAGCUUUUACGCUACAAAAAUUAUUUACGUAUAACUCUAUAAAUAUUGUUUUAUAAGAAAAUAGAAUACUUUACUUAAUAUUUCUUUUAUUUUCUUAUUAUAUUCAAAUAACCAUAAUUUCGUUUUAAAUGAAGAUUUUAGACUUUUAAAAUCAUUUUGAAUAUGAAUUAUGUGUUUUGUACUUGUAUAUUACAUUUUAGCCAGUUUCAAAAUUUUUGAGAAAAAUGACCAAAAUACCCCUGUGAGAUAAAAAAAUUAAUAUUUUAUUUGUUUUAAGAUGGAAACAGCUUAAAAUCUUUUAGAACAUGAUAUUUGACAAUGGUUGCUCACAAGGGAAAUGAGAAACUGAUAGUAAAGCCUUACGAGAUUUCGGGUUGACAUUUCGGGCAAUGAGUGUCUACCGGGACACUAUGACGGUUGUCACGGGCUCGAGGGGAGUACCUGGUCGUGACAUAUUUACUCUACUCUAAUCACACUAAAAAAAUAUAUAAACAGCCUCAAUAAUAAAAUACUCACAAUCUAAUUAUUAACCAUUGUCAACAACUUAAAAAUCAACCCUAAUUCAUUACUCACCUUGGUGGAUUUUGUAAUUUGAAUUCCUUUCUAAGAGUUUUCAAGCAAUUAUGAAAAAUCUCUCUUUCUCUCUCUCUAAAAUGUCCAACUAGUGAGAGAGUAUUGAGGAAAGACUUUUGAGGGUUCUUAAGGUGUAGAAGUAAAAGAGUAUGAAAAACCCUAUGACAAGGUGUAUAAAAGCAUGAGAAAUGGAGUUAAUUUAGGAAAGUUAUAAAAGGUUUCAAGGGAGGCUUCCAUGGAAGAUGAAAAAAAAACAUGAAAUGGAGAUAAAGGAUGGGAAGAAGAAGAAUAAACUGCUAGAAGUUAGAAGAAGCUACUAGAAAUUAGAUAUUUAUGCUUAAAGUUUAUUAAAGUUUCAUUUAUUUACAAAAAUGCCAUUCAAUAGUUGACUUUGCCUCCUUUAUUUCCCUUGGUUCAACUUUUUUCUCCUUUGACACUAAAACAAAAUCCAUAAUAGUCUAGAAGUACUCGAGUUCACGAAGACUUAAAAAUUUAAAUCUGAUAUGCAAAAUGAUCAUUUUGCCCCUACUGUGAAAAUUGUCAUUAUUUCUAUUUUUUCAUUUAUUUCAUUAUUAUAUACAUCAUUCAUUUAUUUCUUAGGCCUAUUUAGACCUUAAUAAUUUUAGAAAACCCACUUUUAGGAGCUCACCAAGAAAAUGACGAAAUUGCCCUUAGUCCAUGUUAUCGUGUCUAUUUCUAAUUACGUUUUUAUGGAGGUCGAGGUUUCACAAACCUAUUGGCUUACCACCCUUAAAUGAGGUAUACAAUGUUCGCAAUACAUCCGCCAAUCUGAAGCUCACCGAUUCCACUAACCAAUAAGUAAAGUACCCUAACACUAUAUAAAUGUACUCCAUAUCCUCUAACAAUUGUUGUAGGUCUUUUCACGCCUCGGGUCAGAGAGUGAUGGGGGUUUGAGUUUCAUAAAGUUUGCUAAUGUCACUAUAAUAUGCCCCCAUUCUAAUUCAGUAUAAGGUAAGUACUCUGAUUCCUACAAACUAGAGUCAACCCAUUAUUCGGGGUAUCUUUCACCCCCAUUAUGGAACACUACAAACUCUUAUGCCAAAUUCUAUAACCUUACUACCAAAUCUGUUAUAGUGAUGCCUUCUACAAUUCGGUGGUUGCCCCCAACUUCUUCAAAACUAUCACUAACAUACAUCUCACUAUGAUCUAUAUCUUUGGCACGUUCGGUAGCCCUAUCUCUUUUACGACUCCUAGACGUGGAUGCUUGUGGUCUCUCAAUGGGCUCAUUUAGGACAUUUUGUGCUCCCAUAGCUCUCGAAGUGGCUCUCAUCUUAGGCAACAUCCUUAAUCAAGACAGAGCAGACACUAAUUCAAAUUCAAAAUUUCAAAGUCAAAAAGGGGCUUAUUAGCUAAGGACUUGGGAAUUCGUGCAGCCUCCCACUCAUGACUUAUGUUGCAAUCACAAAUCAUGAACAAGAUUCUACACUAGUCUCAACACUUCGCUUAUAGACAUAGAAUAGCCAAAGACACUUUAUACUUAGGGCAUUAAUACCAAGCUUGUCACGAUGCAAACUUGGGGCUAUGAUUGGUGCAUGAGUCCAACAAGUGAAACCAGUGAGACCCGAGCAAGCCUUAAAUCCAAAUCAAUCAAAAUAUCAAAUAAUUGGACAAACAUUUGUCCAAAUAAGAAUAUGCACCACAAUUUCUUAUAUAUGUAUCAAAGUUCCCAACAUCUUUUAUAAGCAAUGCAUUAUGACACGUAAUUUAAUGUAUCAUCAUGCUUAACCUAAAAACAGAAAUGCCUCCACGCACCAUAUACAGAGAAUGCCAUAACUUGGGGCCAACGUAAUACGUCCAAGCCUAUACAAAAUCCAACUAAAAUUAUAUGGCAAAGUAAUGCCUACAUAACCCAAAACAAAGUGAAAACAUAACCAAAAUCUAAACCAAACUCUGCGAAGUGGACUUGUCAAAGGGAUAUGCCUACUAGAUGUCCAAAUGCCCAUAUAAAUAACACACUAAUUAGUCAACUGCCACUAGGGGAUCUCUUACAAUCUAUUUAUAAAAUGCCCAUAUAAGGAACAUGCUAGUCAAUCGACUCCCACUAAGGGAUCUCUUAUAGUCUAUUUAUCUACACAAGGUGACAAUUACAUUAGGAUGAGUCCUUUCAUAACUUAGGGAAUGGAAGCAAAGGGAAAUAAGCCAAAUACGAAAGAGUUGUUAUAAAAUAAUUAAUUAUAGAAACAUGUAAUAUAAUGCAUCCAUAAUGCAAAACAGAAAUAUAAAAAUAGUACAUCUUCAAUCAAAAAGAUUAUUUAAAAGUCAUCCCAAUACAUAUAUCAAUAAUCCAACUCAGAAUUUUUGCGUCUUUACGCAAUAUAGAAUCAUCCCCUUAAGGUGCAUACUAAAACUUUUUGUAAUUGUCAACCAAACUAUACAUUUGUAAUCUUAGCCAGUCCAUCACAUGGCCAUAGGUGUGACAUAAUUGGUUCAAGCUUAACUUAGGGGCUGUCACGAAUGCCAUGUCUUUUAGAUGUUGCAAAGUUUCCAAAGAUAACAGAUUUAGAGCUACUUAUGCGUUACCUUAAAGCACCUUGAUACACAAAUUCACAUAUAUCUCAAAUAAGCACAAACAAUUCACUUGCCAUAGUAUUUCACACAUAUAGCAAACAUAUCAAAUCAUAGAAAUCUCAAGGUCAGAGUGGUCCUCUCCUAAAAAUAUCAUAAUCAUUGUCCGAUGGCCAACUAAUGAAAUAACGAUCACACAUGGCGCCGCAGCGACAAGUAGAGAAACAAAUCAUGCUCGGUGUUGAAGCAACCAAUAAAGAAUUAAAUCACGCUCAGUGCUGAAGCAACCAGAAAAGAAACAAAUUACAUUUAGUGUUGAAGCAAUUGAUGAAGAAACAAAUCACACUUGAUGCUGAAGUAAUCAAUGGAGAAACAAAUCACGCUCGGUGCCGAAGCAAUGGUAAACAAAUCACAUUCGGCACUGAAACAGCCAACAAAGAACAAAUCACAGGGUAAGGACAUCACUCUACCACAACCAAAUCAACAUCCCAUAAGGGUACCAUGUCAAUAAUAUACUCAUGUCCCCUAAAUUUAUACCACAAAACUCGUAUCAAUUGAUGAUAGGAUAACAAGCUUAAUAAUCUUACAAUUAUAUAAAACAACAAUCUCAUUGUGCCAUUUCAAAUCAAAAGUAUCAAACUUAUCAUAUACCAUAUCUAGCCGUAGAAUUUAGCAUCCUUAAUGUACCGUCAUGGCAAGCUUAAUCAACUAUCUUAUAUAAUUUCACCAUUUCAUCAUCUCAUGCAAAGCAAAAUUGACUAAGUCAUAAACUAUACACUAAUACAAAACCAAUUCACCUAUAAGCCAUCAUGUAGCUUGCAUACGAACAAGUAAAAUUCGCAAAAACCAUUGAUUAUCUAAACACUUUGAAGGGUUUGUUUCCCUUUUUCAAAUCAUAUUCAUGCAUAGUUAUAUAGAUUCAUAAAGCCUUUAAAGAAUCAGAGUUAAUACUCACACAAACCAAAAAUUCCAAUUCAAAUGUCAAACAUUGGCCUAGGUGUGAUUCUUCUACGCCAUUACGCCAAAUAUGCAUUCAUCAUACCAACAUUUAUACAUAUAUAAAUACACAUAUUUUUAUACAAAAGCCUAUAUUUAUUAAAUUAGAGCCCCGCUCACAGUGACAAACAAUGCUCCACUAGCAAUUCCAAUCACUAAUUGUAACCCAACAACUAAUCUUAAGCCUUCUUUUGUUCACUGACAAUCUUUUAGGUUGGCAACAAGCUUCAAGCCUCAACUUCCUCUUACACAAAGCACACAAGGUAGCUUCUUAACCUUCAAUAUUGUUUCAGCACAUAACUUAGUUAAAUCUCCAUCUACUUAACAUUCAAGCCUAAUUUCUAACUCUAAAGCUAGAAUGGUUAAACCCUUACCUUGUGGACUUACUUCAAUUGAAAAAAUUUCCAAAACUUGGUACCUAGUGGCAAAACCACAAAUCUUUUAAAUGGAAACAAAUUUCAAAGGAAACAAAUUGAUUAACUUUUUAUUUGAGCUAUUAGGAAGCUUAACCUUACCUCAAUGGUGGUUUUCUAAGCUUUAAAACACCUCAAAUAAUGCCCAAAAUCAAAAGUGAAGCUUGGGGUUAUAAUGGUAGAGUAACGAGGCUGAGUUUCCUUUUUUCUUCAAAUGAGAAGAAUGCUCCAAGCCUUUCUUUAUUUUUGUAUUCCUAUAGGCAUGUAUCUAUAGAUUCAUGAAUCUAUUGAUACAUUCUUAUGAUUUUUCUUCAAAUCUAUAGAUACGUGUGUUAAUGUAUCGAUAGAAAUUCAAUAGAAUGUUCUCUGCCUCAUAUCUAUUGAUAAAUUAGGGAAUCUAUCGAUACAUUUUUCACAAAAUGUUCCAUUUCCAAAAUCUAUCGAUACAUUUGGUAAUUCUAUCAAUAAAAAUUCAACAAAAUGUCUCAUAGUUCAAAUCUAUCAAUACACUCUUGAAUGUAUUGAUAGAAAAUUUAUAGAAUGCUUCCCCCUAGGCUUUUUUCCAAGAAUUUAUCGAUACAUUCUCUAAUAUGUCUAUAAAUCUUAUUUCGAAGCUAAAUUUUCUAACAUUUCUAACUUCUUAACUUCGAAUUUCAAAGUUCCUAAUCAUUUUCAACUCCAACCACACCUUAAUUCAACCAUAAAACUCCUAAGGUUCAAUCAAACUUCAAUAUACUCAAAUCAUCAAACAUAUCACAAUAUCUUCGCUUGAGUGUCAUAGCUUCACUUGUUAGAAACUUAUGCACAUAUAACACCAUCCAAAGUCCUCAAAACAUGUUAAGACUUCAAAAUCACAUUCAACACAACAAAUUUCAAGUUAUUACUUAACCAAAUUCAUAUGUAAUUCAUAUCAAAGUCGGGGAUGUUAUGCCUAUUCUGAAUUGUUGGGAUUUCAACAAUACUUCUAAUGUAAACAUUUUACUAGUAAAUUAUUACAAAUUGAGAAGUUGUGAUACGUGGUACAAUAGCAAAUUAAAUGAGAUAAAGGAGAGGUUAAAAUAAUGAGAUGUGACUUGGCUUUUCUUUAAGAAGUAAUAAUAUUAAGGAAUCAAUCUCUUUUUGCAUUUAUGGAUGAUCAAAACAAAAAACUUGAGUUAAUUCCAAAGUAAUAUACUACUAAAUGGAAAUAAUAUAGUGACUUCUUUGCAUUGAAUACUGUAACAAUCUCGUAUUUGGCUUCAACUACACCACAAAUGUUAUUUGCAGAUAUAUCACAAAUUUCAACAUCAACUAUAUAAAAAAUUUUGUAAACUCAAUACAUUUUGGGAAAAAUACAGCUCCUAUGUAAGUCUUUAUAAAAUUUUAUAAACCUGCUGCAUAGCGUGGUCAAAUUCAAAUAUAUUUUAAAAUUAAAGUUAAAUAAAAUAUAAUUUUUUAUUAAUAUAAUAAUAUUGCCUAGAUAGAUCGAGCUGGAUCUAAAAAUACUAUCCAGGCUCUGGCCCAAAUCGGGCUCGACGGACUGGCUUGCCAGUGGAUAGGCCUGCCUCAAAUGCAAUGCCAAUAAGAGUAGUUAUCAUCCAAACAUGCCCCAUCUCCAUUCCAAUCCCAAUUCCAUAUUGAGUUAAGAAGCUUUCUCGUCAGUCUCCACUACCGCUACUUUCAGCAGCAACAAAAACAUUGAAGCUGCAAAGGCACAUAGAUAUCAAAGUCAGGCCUUUUUUGGCUUCUUUCUCCAAAGAAUCUGGCAGCACAAACAAAGUAGAGUCUCUCUCAACAACCUGAAACACCUUUUUCUAUAUGUUUUGUUCAUAAAUGGCAUCAUCUCUUCUCUCCAGAACUCUCUUGGGUCACCGCUUGGGUCAAUUCUCAUCCUCUCUCACACACAAACCCCUGAUUUUCUCUUCUCUUUUCAAUGUAAGCAACAAUCUCUUCCUCCUUUUUAAAAGAAAAUGGUCUUGUCUGAGUUUUUCUAAUCUGUGGUUUUCUGAUUGUCGUAAUCGGUUUUGCUUUCUGGGUAUUUCAUUUUCCCUUCUGUUCUUUUUUGUUGCAUGUGAUCAAUUCAUCACUUUUGGAAAAUGGGUUUGAGUUCUGAUGUUUUAUUUUAUUUUCUUUCUUUCUUACCCAAAGGGUAUAGUGCUUGGACUAUUGUUAUGGCGAAUUUUGUGUUUUCUUUGAUUAAUUAUAAUUUUUGUUUCAAUGCUCUUCGUGGAAUAUUAGUAUGUACGAAACCUAAUGGAGAUUAACGUUUUUUAAGCUGUUUUAUGCUCGACGAAUUAAUCUAUGAGACGUGUUUUUAUUUCGUCUGAUCUUUCAGUUUGUUUGUAGUUCUUUUGUUCCUAUUUUAACGGUAUGUGUGAAGUUCUUCACGGUUGUUGGUUGGCUGUUGUUUCAUUGAUUCUUAUAAGAUGUUUCAGUUGGAAAUUUUUUAGUCUGUUUCUUGCGCUGAAAUUAUGUGUUAGGUAUAUCUAAUGCUAUAAUGGCUGCUUUUGUUUUGGUUUAUAAGUGAAAUUUGGCUACUUUGAAGAAUUCAUUAUCAUGGGAAAUUCUGGCAUUUGAUAUUUUGAAAUUCACUACUCUGUCCAAGUGUACCUCUGAUGAUAACUUAAAAUAUUGAACUGUGUACUGUGUUUGGAAAGUUUUUAUUUCUAACUUUGAGCUACGGCUUUCGUUUCAUUGUACUUUUCGUGGUCGUCUGGCCCAUAUCUUAUUUCGCAUUUUGUUGUUAGUUGCAGAAGAGACAGCUUCACGUACAGGCUGAGCCUACCUAUACACCAUAUAAAACAUCUGGUCGGCCUUCUCGUUUUAUGGCCUCAGCAAUUGACAGAAGAAUUAAUUUUUCUACGCAAUCUCUAUCCACAAAUGAUACGGUUGUUUCUGUUGAUUGGCUCCAUGCUAAUCUAAGGGAGCCUGAUAUGAAGGUAUUUGAAUUUAUAUAUGGACCAGGAACCCUUUCAAAGCAUAUGCUUAGUCAUUCUUGUUACUUUUUGGAGUUUGAAGUAAUGGUUGUCAUGUAUGACAUCAUGGUAUCAUUUGUGUUUGCCACUUUUGAUACUCUAUCCCCUCAUUAUUCUCUGUGUACAUAAUGGCAUUAGGAUAUAUUUGUAUAUUUGCUGAUACUUAAGGUUUUGCAUGAAACUGAUUUGGCACUUUCUUAGGCAUCACCUGGCAAAUUUAUCUAUCUAUUUGUUUAGUAUUUAUUACCAAAAUAAUUUUCAAUAUCAUUACUCCUGCAGUUAUUGUGACUCCGUAGGAAAUCUAGAUGUUAAACCUUGAUCUUAUCUCCUCAUUAUCUAUUUCCUACUGCUGUUUCAUUGUUACAACCAGCCCUAAAUCAGUCUUUUUAAACAUAUAAGAAUAAUCUAUCAAAAUGUUAUUAAAUCCAUGUUAAAACAACUGCCAAAUUCAAGCCCAGCUCUAAAUCCCUGUUCACAAAACUGAAAGAACUUCUAAACAGCUAGCUAUCAUACAUCAGGUUUCCAAGGGCACGUUUUGGUUUAUUUGUUUGUCCUCAAAUUUAUUUUAUUGAAGGAAAAGAACAUGUGUUCUUGGGAACAUGAACUAAAUCUGUUUUUCUUUUGUUUUCUUGGUAACAAGACAUCUGUGUAUCCCAAUUGAAAAAAAAAAAGGAAAAUUAUAAAGUAAGUAAAAAUUGUUAUAAACUACAAAUAUGUGCUCUCUGAGAUAGGGGAUACUUUGAGAACAGUUUCCUGAAGACAUUUCUGAGUUACUAAACAAACAAAAAUUUUGCAAUCUGAGAAUUAUUGAUAGUGUUGUGAAAACAUUGUUAUGAAUUCUGCCUUAAGCCUGUCAAGAAUUUAUUAGCAUAUGGUGUCUUUGGAAAAAUUGUUUUUUGUCAAUUGAUUUCAUUAUUUAUUUUAUUCAGGUACUGGAUGCAUCCUGGUACAUGCCAGAUGAGCAGAGGAAUCCUAUUCAAGAGUAUCAGGUGCUGAUCUUUUACAAUAUAUUUUGGUAUCACACACUCAAGACACUUAAGUUCCUCAAUUCCUUUCUUUUAAUUCCAAUAUUUUCAAUUUCAAAUGCGUUUCUGUAAGACAUCGUUCGUCAUAGCAGGUUGCUCACAUUCCUGGUGCUCUUUUCUUUGAUGUUGAUGGAAUAGCGGAUCGAACUACAAAGGUGAGAUGCCUUUUAUUAAUUGAUUAGUCUCUCUUGAUCUCUCGGGUGCUCUGCUUGCUAUACCACUGAAGUGGGUAGAAGAAAAUAAUUUGCAUAAUUCUUCGUUGCUUCAAAACCUUUGUCUUACUUUUUCUUCUCUUGAUAUCCUGCUGCUUCCCGCUUGGUUCUGUGAAGCAAGGACUUGCUUAGCUGUUAGCAUCAAUUCUCUUCUUUUACUUCGACAGCUCAUUAUUUACUUAAAUGUCUUGAAUGCGUCAUGAAUUUUUUUUUUUUGGGAAAAAUAUCAAUUUCAUUCAAUAAACAGGGAAUGAAAACAAUUCCCUGUAAAUUAUCCUUUUUAAUGUCUUGAAAGCAUCAUGAUUAUUUAAAUUAUCCUUUUUUGGUGUGGCUUGAUAGAAUUGUUGUUUUCUUUCACAGAUAAUCUGUUAAUGUAUUUUACUGGAUGUAUGAUGUGUUAUUGUUAAUAAAUAAUCUACAAUAUUUUUGGGAAAGGUAGUAGAUAUUCAGGUUUUCUUUCUUUCUUUAAAUGUUCCCAUUUUUCAUAGUAAAGUUGUGCCUUGUGGGAGGAAGAUUUGAAAAACUCUUUUCGUAAUUAUUUUUGGCCACCAUUAGGCAAAUUACAUAGGCCAUAAAAUUGCGGUUUUUCUUAAAAAGGUAAAAGAAGGUACUUUGACAAUUCUAGAAUAAACUUUAUAACUUUAUAUAUGCCUUCCUUGAAUAUUCCCUGUAAUUUGAUUCAAACAAAUAUUCAUGAUAGUUGUUACAUGAUGUAUUAACAUUGAAGAUACUAGGUAAGUGAGCCUUUGAAUAACAUAUGAACCAGUUCAUUAAUCAUAUUUGGCUUCUCUAUUUAAAAACUGUUACUUGUGUCAGUUGCCACAUAUGCUGCCAUCUGAGGAAGCCUUUGCUGCUGCGGUGUCUGCUCUUGGCAUCCAGAAUAAUGAUGGACUGGUUGUUUAUGAUGGAAAGGGAAUUUUUAGUGCAGCACGUGUCUGGUGGUGAGUAGCAUUCUUGAUGAUAAGAUUAUGAUAUCUUCUGAGCCAUCUCUGAAAUGGUUGAUAAUUUUUUUCUGAUGUCAAAUCUAACAAACUUUAUCCGAUUGAUAAUUGAAAGGAUGUUCCGAGUCUUUGGGCAUGACCGAGUAUGGGUGUUAGAUGGAGGCCUCCCAAGGUGGCGUGCAUCAGGAUAUGAUGUUGAAUCUAGUGCUUCUAGUGAUGCUAUUUUGAAAGCCAGUGCUGCCAGUGAGGCUAUAGAGAAAGUCUAUCAGGGACAAACAGUAAGUUAGUUCCUUCCUGAUCUCUAUUUCUCUUAUAAUCUGAACUUGCAAUUAUUGAUUGGGAUGGAGGGGCUGGGGAAUGGUUUCCAUGCUACAAGAUGUGGCUGUUGCCAGGGAGUUGUUGCUGCCAUGUUGUUAAAGUGAUGCCUCUUAAAUAGAAGCAAGCAAGAUUAUUGGAAAUACUAAGGACGUCAUUCAGUAGCAAUUGGCAGUUCAGUUACUGGGUUGCAGAUCUAUGAUCUGAAUAAUAAAAUAUAACCUUCAAUUCUCUUACGUUUCAUUUUUAUAAUCUUAUACUCUAUAGUUUUAGUUGCUUCUGCAUGUAUCUUUGUUUUGCAGGCUGGACCGGUCACAUUUCAGACAAAAUUUCAGCCACAUCUUGUCUGGACACUCGAUCAGGUUAAAUUACUAACCUAAUUACCUAAUAUUUCUGUUCAACAAAUAGAAUUAUGGUUUUGCUGUUUCAGUUUAGUUUAACUCCUGAAAUGUUGCUCGGUAAUGAUUGAAAUUUUAAAGUGGAUUCACCUUCAUGACCAGAUCUACUGUUGUGACCUUGCAGUAACCAUGAUGCAGGAUUUUUAUGAUGUGAUGAACCCAUCUGAACAUUUAUUUGCAUUCGCAUAUAUCACACUAUAAUUUACUAUGGUCUGAUAAAUGAAUAAAUUUUUUAAAAAAGCUUCAAGCUGAAUAGGACAAGUAUAGAAUUUUAGACAUUAUGAGUUUAUAUCAGUGGCAUAAAGGAAGAGCAUGCCUGCAUAUGUGUUAUGAGAUUAAAAACUAAUGAUUGUUUAUAUAAAGUGGUGAAUUCUAUAUACACUUUGGUCUGAGUUGAUUAGCUGUCUUCUUUAUAUGUACUUGGGCUUGAUAGUGUUGCACCAUUUUUAAAUUCUGAAGAAAAAUCUGUAGAAUGCAAUGUUUAACAACCAAAAUUUAUUUCUGUAGAAGUAAAAGGUGGCCUAUGUAAUGUGUUUAGUUGGUGAUCUUGUAUGUGCAAUGUAUAACAACCUAAAAUUAUUUCUGUAGAAGUAAGAGGUGGCAUAUGUAAUGUGUCUAGUUGGUGGUGUAUGUUACUGACUCUUCAUUUUUACUAACAUAUCUGCAUCAGAAAGAUAGUGGAUGCUUUAAAGCUCACAUAGUUAUAAAGUUAAAAUAGUCUAUGUACGCAAUGCUCACAAACAGUUGAAAGUACUUGUUGGGGCACGUACCAUGUCCAGCACUCAAAUUCAACUCUGAGCAGCAUAGAUGUUCUAUUUUAUGGGCAUGGCUGUGAUGACAGUCCAUCAGUGGACAUAAAUUCCCCAUUAUUUGAACACAUUCUUAAUGUCAUGUUAGAUCAUACCUUCUGUCUUUUUUUCUUUUUUCAGGUUAGAAGAAACAUUGAGGAAAAAACUCACCAACAUAUAGAUGCCCGCUCCAAGCCCCGGUAAUGCAUAAUGUUAUUUGAUUGAGUAUAUUUGACUAUGUUUUCUUAGUGUCUGUAUGAUAUAUAUGAAUUUAAUAUGGUAAAAUGCUUGCUGUUAUAGGUGUUGAAUAAUUUUGCUUUCCUUCAGCGCUCAGUUCUUGUAGCUCAAUACUUCGCCUUGUGUUGUUGACAAUGAGCAAAAAUCAACACGUCUGCCAUAUUACUGCCUUGGAAAUGCUGUAAAUACAAUCUUAAAUUAACUGAAUUUCAGACCUAAAUGAAAUUUGUUUUCAUAAUAAUUGAUGUAAGUGGCAUGUGACAUAAGGUGUGGGCUUGUUCUUGCAUUUUUUAGUCCACGAAAGCAUAAUAUGCUUCUUAGAUUGUAAAGUAGAGGCUAGCUUUGAAUCUACUACAGGACUGAAAUUUUUGCAAUAGAUAUCAGGGUAAACUCAAAUCUGUGUCAUUAUUAUUACUAAUAAAACUCAUAAACUUCUUUCAUGUUUUGGAAAUUUGUCUAAAACCAGCAAAAACUAGAAUCAAACUAGAUUCUGAGUGGAAUGGAUACUAUUGGUUGGCCUAUUAGGGUGGUUCUAGUUGCCAGCAUGAUCCAGGAGCCCCUUGUUUUUUCUUUAAAAAGAAGAGACGCGUUUAGUGUAUUCUAGGGUGUUGUAUCAGUCUAAUCAACUCAAGUAAGCCUUAAUCCCUAUCUAGUUGGAAUUGGCUACCUGAAUCUGUUUUCUACAAUCUAUUCAAUUCAGGCUGUCUUCCGAACUAUUAAAAAUGCUAAUCCUUUUUUAUUGCCUCAAUAACCAUUGUUUAUCUUUACCAUUUUUCCCUCUGUGUUGUCCCUUUUCUUUCUGCAUCAACUAACCUACCCUUCUAUUUUAACACACCCUAUAUCUAUGUUGCCCAUGAUUAAUCCAUUUUAUAAUCGUCCUUUAGUUUCUCCUCAAUUGGUGCCACCUUUACCUUCUUUUAAAUGAUUCCAUUUCGUGACCCACAUCCAUCUCAGAUAUCUUCAUUUCAGCUGCACCCAUAUUACAGAUAUGUUGUCUUCUAACUGCGCAAAGGCUUAGUACAUUAAAGCCCAACUGGUUUUAUGGUGUUAUAGUAUAUCCUGUUGAACUUGGCUAAUACCUUGUGAUCACAUGAUAUCUUAGUAGCACUUCUCGAUUCCAUCAGCUUUUUUUAAUCAUAUGAAUGGUUACAUCUUGAAAUUUCACUUCCUAAUAUAAAAACCAUCAUUAACUACAUACUGAAAAUCAUCACUCUUUUAAGCAUCCCAAUAUUAUCUCUACUAUUUUGUUACUGUGGCAUAACUUUAUUGUCUUUGACUCUAGUAUUUUUAUUUUUGUUUUUGUUUUUAGGUCUUUUUCUUUUGGUUAUUUUAUUAUAGUUGUGCUCAAUGGGGAAUUUUGGUGCAAUUAGAUUUUCAUAUUUAGUUAUUUUUCCUUAAAAAAGUUUAGCUCAAGAAAUAGAUGUUCACCCUGUUCCUUAUUCUUAGAAACCAUAGGACCUGCCAUUUCACUGUGUAAAUGAUCUCUUUGCUUUCAUUGGGUUCUCUUAUUGUCUUUUCUUUUGCAAUCAAAUUUCUGUUUUGGGUUCAUUUCUCUCAUCACUGUGCAACCUAUCUAAGUAGAUUAGGAUGUCUCGACAUCUUGGAUGUUGAUUUGAUAUAAUGAGGUUUUUGAUGUUUCCUGGCCUCUGUGUCUGACUGCUGGUAUCAAGAAAAACAGAGUCAUUAGUGUGGUGGAACAAGCCUUUGGAAGUAAGAGAUGAGGUCAAUGAAUGGUAGCAAACUUGACUAGAAAAGUUAGCUGCUUGAGUAAUGUGAUGCAUUUAGCAAGAACGGUGAAUAUCAGCAAAUUUAGAGGAGUAGAGCAGUCUUUAUGUCGCAUAAGUGCUGACUCUUGGCAGCCUAUAUCUUCUAUUGUUUGAGCAGGUUGCUUUGUUCAUUAGUUUUUUUUUUUUUUUAAUUUAGUACAUAAAUCCACACUCACACAACAUACAUAAAAUUUUGUAACAGGAUUUUUGCCUUUCAACUUUGUAAAUUUUGAAGGAAAUGUGCCUCAUGGGCUCCGAUGGAGGAAAGCCCAUGGGGCCUAAAAUUCAACCAUAUAAAGGCAUAUAAGUUGGGCUGAUAUGUUGGACCUCCUUGCAAAUCAAAUCCUUUUGUUGUUUUUUAACACUUUUGUUUUUUUUCCUGUUUUGGUGUUUAAUGCAGAUUUGAUGGUGCUGCACCAGAACCUCGCAAGGGAAUAAGAAGUGGCCAUGUCCCUGGCAGCAAAUGUAUUCCUUUUCCCCAUGUAAGCGAUAAAAGAUUUUCAUAUUUUACUUGCAUGCUAUGAAGAGCUGAUGCGUAUGUAGAUUUCUGAAGUCCUAAUAGAUACCCUUUUUUUUUAUGUCUGUGAGAGAGAGAGAGAGAGAGAAGGUUGGUUGGAUGUGGUGCAGGAUGAUUUAUUUUCAAAUUAGGAGCACAAGGGGGUCUCUCCGAAUCUCUUUUUGGUGUCUGCUGCAUGAAGUUGUUGAUGCACACAGAUGUUGGAUAAACAUGCUGGAGUUCUCUUGAUUAUUUACUGGUGAUAUAGGAAGUGGCAACAUUGUAGUUGAGGAAAAAAAGGGAGAAAGAAAGUCAUAAGUCCAAUUUGGUCGUUACCUUGUUUUGUCCAGUUCUUUGCUCUUGCCUUUCACUCUCUUUUCUUGUGUUUGUUAAUAUGGUUUUUUUGGAUUAUUUUCUGGAAUAGUCUAUUAAUUUGGUCAAGUUUGGCAUUUCUUUGCAGAUGUUGGAUGCUUCACAGACACUUUUACCCGCUGAUGAACUUAAGAAACGAUAUCAGGAAGAAGGCGAGUACUAUUUAGCUUCCUUUCUAUCAUUGUUCCAUUCCCCCUUUCUUUUUAUUCUUCCCAAAUUCAUUAUAUUGUGGCAUCCUUAGUAUCUAAUAGUUGCAAUAUUAGGUAGAUUGUCAAAUAUGUGCAUAGUUGAAUAAAAUUUUCACCAUGGUCAAAUUAAUUGUGGCAUUUUAAUCUGAACUUGUUUGUGUGCUUGAAAUAUUCCUUAUACUAAGGCAUGUUAUUCGCUUAUGUGUAUCGUAUCAUCUGUUUGUUUUUAAUGUGUAUUAUAUAUUGAUUUUCUAUUAAAAUGUUGCAUUUUUUUAUUUGAUUUUUGUAUUAAUAUGUUGUAUUUUUUCUUCAAAAAAAAAAAAAUUCUUCAAUUGCUCUUUUAUUUUUUUUAUCUGUAUCAUAUAUUGAUUUUCUAUCACAGAAAUCCCUUUGCUUGAUUUAUACAAUUAAACCCCAACAAUAGCCCCCUCAUCAACCAAUAUCAGUGUAAAAUGUUAAUAUCUGCUCCAUUUUAUGCAAUCUAUUAUAUGGGUUUAAGGAUUGAGCUAUCUAAUAAAUAGAAUUUUGAAUCUUUAGCUACUCCAAUAGUUCAUUCUCAAAAAUGGAAAAUAUUUGUUGAGUUUUUCUGUCUCAUAAUGAUGUCAAGGACAGCUCAUUUGCAAGAGGCUGCAAGUUUCCUUGAUUGAGCAAUAUGAACUGCGCACUUUUUUUUCUUUUUGAAAAGCAAUAUAAACUGCACACUUGACUCUGUAACUUUACUGAUUUCAGAUAGAAAAAUUAGACACUGAUGCCUGUGGUGUCACAUCCAAUUUGGUUGUGGGACAUCCACACAGUUCAUAACUUAACCAAUCUUUCAAUAUGAUUUUAUGUGGCUUAUGAUGCCAGCAAUAUACUGAAUGUGCUUUUAUUCUGCAUCUUGAUGAAUCAUCUAGCUUUGCCAUCGCCCGUCUCUUUACUUUUGCUUGUAAAGAAGUUUAUAUUUCAUGUUUGUUUAUAAGAAGUUUUGUGGUUGAUCUUGACAUUUUUGUAUUUUCCAAGCGAACUGAUGCUGACUAAUGACUUAUUCUUCUGCAGGCAUCUCAUUGGAAGGCCCUGUUGUUACUUCUUGUGGCACUGGUGUAACUGCUUGUGUUCUGGCAUUGGUACUUUCCCUUGCUAUGUGUUACUGGUCCAUCUCAACCUUUAUGUUUAAAAUUUAUCCAUAUUCCCCUUAAACCUCAGGAGGGGGAAAAAUAAUGUAGUUUUUUAAACCGAGUUCUAUGCACUCUUUUCUCUUCUGCUUGGAAAAGAUAAUACUCAAAGAUAGUUAUGUGUCUCAUGCUGAUACUUUUCAGGGCCUCCAUCGACUUGGGAAGUCUGAUGUUGCUGUGUAUGAUGGAUCUUGGACCGAAUGGGGUGCACAAUCAGACACACCUGUUGACACUUCACUGUAAAUCUUAAUGCCACCUGGUCAAAAUGUUCAGAACAAAACAGCUUGAGAUUGGCAAGUUCAGUUCUCAGAUUGUGAAGAAAAGGGGUUGAAUCUAUAACAGUUGAAUAUCAUUCAUCAUUUUUGGUUUCCAUUUUGCACCUGUAUGGUAACUUCAGAUCCACACUUGGUUUGAAAACAGAAAUGUUGAAUUCUAAGAUGUCUAUGAAAAAUGGUGUUUGCUGUUCACAUGAGCUGACAACAUAGGAUUCUGCUGCGAGCAAUCACAUUUUUAAGGCAGCAGAUGACUCAUAGGAGCUUAUGACCAGUGUUGGGACAUUGGUAUUGGUCAAAGAUAAAUAAAUAAGCAGCAGCAGCAUAAAUUUCUUUUCUAUUCGUUGUUAAUUUUGAGCACUCAGGUUGUUCUUGUUAUGCGCACUUGAGCUUAAGAUCAGGUAAUUCUGCUCCGUUGGUGCGCAUUAAAAGGUUGAAUGAAGGAAUGUGAGAUAAAGACUUGAAAGCAUUUCGUGAAGGUUCCUCUUUUCCCUUCAUUGACUUCAGCAUUCCUCUAGCAUGAACUAAUGUCAUCAUCCAUGUGUGUUUUGUUUACUUUGUUUAUUGAGGAAAAAGCUUUGAAACUUGAAAAAGCGAGAUUGUUGAAUUGAUCAAAUAGAAUUCCAAAAUGAACUUAACAAAAUGCAACACUGGAUGGGGGAACCCAAUGGAAACAGAUCAAACAUGACCACAAAGAGGCAACCCGGAAAAGAAAAAAUGUAAAAUUAACAGCUUUAUUAGAAUAACAGCUUUCUUCCAUGAGACUGCUGGAAUCUUGAUUGUUAACUAUUAGUUGUUGCAUUGAGAAAAAGAUGCAAUUACAUGUUAAAGCUACAUAAACAAAGCAUUAGUAGAGAAAUGGUUAAAUAAUGGAGGUGAAGACUUAAUCAUUCAAGGGGUGCAAAUGCUAAUAGCUGACUGAGUUCAUCAGAGAGUGGAGGUUUAGAAAGCGUUGUCAAGGAGAGAACAACGUCCUUUGGAACCAGGCACUUUUCUUCCAUGGAAAGCUUUUCUUGAACCUUUGGGGAUGUUACAAUUUGCAUGCUUUCCUUACGAGUCGCCUUCUCCUUUUCCUGCAUUUGUUUAAAAUCCCUUGCUAAUGUUAGCAAUCACUCUUUUUUUACCCCUUUAUAUAUUAUAUAAAAAAUAAUAUAAAAAUGACAGUUUCAAGUGGUUUCUCUUGUUAAUUUUCACCAUUAUCCACCUUCACUCACUUUUUAUGACAUUAAAUAGCAAAUUGGAUAUUUGAAAAUUUUAUAUUGCAUAUUGAAAAAUUAAAUUUGUAUUGCUGCUGGAAAUUGAGUUCUUUUUGAAGGAAAAAGGCUGUGAGGAAUGAAACUUUGAAGGUUCAUUAAGGUACAUUGAGUCUGAAAAAUUGAAAAGUUGAUAAAAGGAAAAGAAAAACACAAGAAUCUAAGACUUUCUUUUUCUUAAAAAAGAGAAAAUUACCGAGAAAGAGUCCAUAAAUUCAAGGAUUCCAACUUGAGCUUGCAAGUACUUGAUAUACUUGAAGGCAGCAUGAAGCAUUUCAGCGGUGUUCAUCUUAUUCCCACCGGGCACAAGCUUUCCCAGCUCUUGAGUCUUCUCAGUUAUCUUCCUCCUCCUUUCUCUCGCUGCAAUGCUUUGCACUGAUACGCUCUUAGCAUUAAUCCUCUUCGAACUCUCCACAGAGUUUCCAUCCAAGUUUUUCUGAUGAAUGCUUUGAUGUUCAGGCACGGGACAAGAAUUUAGAGCAACCCCGUCAGAGAAAGCAGGCACAAAAUCCGAGCAGCAGUGACCUUCAAUGAGUUUCUGGCGUUUGGGGCAUGGAUAGGAGCUGAAGUUUUCAUAUGGGAUGAUUUCGUUUUCAGGUGAGAAGGAGCUUAAAGGGUCAUAUGGAGAGGACAAGUAUGGAAGUAAAGCAUUGUAGUUUUCAGGGUAUAAGAAAUUUUCAUUCAGGUCAAUAUAAGGAUCAAGAAAAGCACAAGGCAACUCAAAUGUGUCCCAGUAAUAUUCAAGAUGAUGAUCUCCUGCAACAAGCUGUACCGGAGGUUGUUUUGCGUAAUGGAUUGGCUCCGAGUGAACAUUUUGAAGAUCAGUUCCCCAGUUGGAGUAUGAACUCAAAACCAUGGUGGCUGGUAAAAUCCUGGAAUCGUCAGGGAAUGUGGAACAUGCAUGAAGUCAUCAUUCAUGGCAUGCAAAAGUUAGCUAUUAAUGAAUUCAUCAGUUUUCAGUGAAAUUAAACAAAAGCAAUCUGAAGUAAGUAGCAGAGAUCACUAACAAAAAGCAAGAAGCUAGCAUCCAGCCUAAAAACCCAAGAAAAAGAAAAUGCAGAAAGGUUUUAGAGCAGGGAAAUGUGGAAGAAAUAGAAGGGUAAAAUACCUGAAAUAGAGAAGAAAACUGUCAAAAUGUUGUGCUGCGUAUUGACCUGAGGAGACAGAACAGAUAUUGGUAAGACCCUACUAGCAACCAAAAAACUAUAUAAACUGAAUUUGGGUGGGGGGUUGGGGGAAGUGGUGGGUUGAGAUAAAAUAGGAAACAUGGGUUUAGUAACAGUUAGUUAACCGCCUCCGAGGAAAGCUAGGGCUUUUUGCUUCCCACCAAAGAAACUGAAAAUCUGUUAAUUAACUACGGGGCCUUUCCCACCUUGGCGGCUGCCUCAUCACUCAUUAUUGGACUCUUUCAUGUUCUUGUCCUCUAUUUCCAGUUAUACAUUUUUCUUUUUUUGAAAGUUAGAUAAUUCAUUAAAAGGAGUAACCAAUGGUUAAACUCCAUUGAAAAAUACAAAAGAACUGUAAUUUUAAGACUUAUGCUCCAGUUAUACAUUUAAAACAUUGUUUCUAAUUAAUUUAAUUUUUCUUACAUAAGUUAAUUUCCUCAUGAUAUAUAUAUAUAUAUAUAUGUGUGUGAGAUUAUAGUAUACUCAUGCUUUAUGUAAGUUACAUGUGUGUAUAUUUGUUCACAUAGGCACAUAUAUAUCUAUUAUCUAUAUUAUAUUUAUAAUCUAUGAUCUACAUAAAAACACAGAUGUUGGUAGAAAUUUUUGUUAUCGGAAAUGAACAUUUUGUUUAUUAUUUUAUAAAUUAUCAUUUGAAAUAUAUUCUAUUAUAAAUGUUAAGAAGAUUUACCUAAUUCGUAAAUAUAAAUUUUAAUUAUAUUUAAUAUUUUUUAUUAAAAAAAUUGCAAUGCUCCAUCAAGUAGAAAUAUUCAUGCUAUUAUUUUUAUGAUGCAAAUUUAACUUUUUCUUGAUGAUGAUUGUUUUUCCUUUAUUAUAUUAUGCAAGUUGAUUGUUACCUUGAAACUUAAAACUUUUAUUUAUUAUUUGUGGAGUUAUCAUCUAGGAAAAGGUUUCUCAAUCUUGCUAAAAAUUUAUAAUUUUACGUAAUUAAUAAUUAAUAAUUUUGUGUUUUUAUUCUUUACACUUUGCAAAUUUGUGGUGUUAUAAUCCAAGGAAAAGUUUUGUCUAUUUUUGUCAAACUUUUAUAAUUUUAUAAACUUAAUAAUUGAUUUUAUAAUUUUAUAUUGGUAUUAAAAAAUAAAGAUAAAAUGGAAAAAGGGUGCAAAUGCACUUUUUCUCGAUGGCAAAAUAAGAAAAAAAAUAUAUGUUGAAUAACUCACUUAAUAGCCCGUGCCACAUAUAGCAAUAAAGUAGGUAAACUUUUUUUUGGUCCAAGUUCCCGAAUUUUCAUGAAAAACAAUUAAAUAAAAAUUAAUAAAAAAAUUUAAGUUGAUAAAUUGAACAUUAUAUUGUUACAUAGAUUAAUUGUGCAAAAUUUGAAAAGUUUUGAUACUUCAUUUAAAUAGGUUGUUUUUUUUUAUUAAAGUUAAACAAUAAUAGAGUUUUCACUAUUCAAUAAGUAGUCAUCAAAUUUUAUGUAUAAACAGUAUUUUAAUCAAUUCUUUUUUAUAUGAUUGAUUUUCUCACUGAACUCUAUCAAUUUACAGAUUUUGAUUUUUAAAAUUAAUUUUUAUUUUAUUGUUUUUAAUAAAAAAAUCUCACAAACUCGACUUAAAAAAUUAUUUCUAAGUUUUGCUCAAGAAAGAAACUCAUUUAACUGAAGGAUGGGGAUAAUGGCACUCCUAAUUGUCUAUUAACACUCUCCUAAAUUACUCUCACUUAAAUUAAUUUUUAUUCAAGUUAAAUUUUAAUUAAUUAUAUCACUAUUUAUCUAUUCACAUUACUCCUUGUUAAUGUCAAUUACUCUCACCUUUUUCUUUGCGCAUAUUUUAAUUCUCUAUACCUUUCUAUAUUCCUUAUGAAGAUUUUAGAUGAAUCUAAUAAUGGAGCAGCAGCAAAUUGAUGAUGAAAAUAUAAACUUGGCUUUGCAAAAUUAAUUAAUCAUUAAAAUGAUUGUUGCAUGCUCAUUAAAUUUAAAAAAAAAUUUAUGUUGAGCAGAAUUUUUAAAAUAAAAAUAUAAAAAAAUAUUUAAAUAAAGAAAAGAAGAAUAUACUAUAAGAAAGCAUGCAAAGACAAGAAUUUAACUCCAAUUCCAAAUUAUUUUCACCAUUAGGGCAAGGGAUUUUGUCAAAGUUCAUGUUUUCAUCAUCAAUUUGUUGCAACUCCAUUGUUAGAUUCAUUUAAAAUUAUUGAAUUGAACACUACUGGAGAAAGAAAGCAAGGAAGAGUUACAAGGAAUAUAGGAAGCUAUGUAGAGUUAAAGGGUGUAGGAACAAAAGGUGAGAGUAAUUGAGGGUUGUUUGUUUUAAUGUAAAAGACUUAUACUUGUUUGGAAGACGAAAAAUUAAUUUUAAAUGUAAAACAUUUUACAGGUUAACUAGAAAAGCACCCAUUAACCACAUAAAAUAUCUUACGCCCUUAAAGGGCAUAAGAUAUUUUUUGGCGAACAAAAAAAAAAAAGACUUUUGUACUAAGGCUAGGAAUAUAAGUUUGAUNAUAUUAAAAUAUUUAUUUUUUCAAUUUAAAAUAUUAAUAUUUAAAUUAUUCAACCCUAUCAAAAUUAAAAAUAUUUUUUAAUGAAACCAUUCAAUAAAAUUAAAAAAUUUUGUUUAUAAAUUGAAUAAAUCUUAUUAAUAAUUAUAGUAAAAAAUAUUUUAAUGAUUGUCAUUUGAUGAAUAUACAUAAGUAUAGGUUUAAAUCUUACUAAUAGUUAAUAAAAAAUAUUUCUAUGAUUUGUUGAAUACAUAUUUAUAUGUAUAAGUUUUUGAUGUCUUACACAAUUGAUGAAUAUUUAUAUUUUUAUAGUGUUAUGAUAAAAAAAGUGAUGAGAUGGAAUUUUUUUAAAAAAAAAAUUAAAGCUUAAUUUCAUUAUAGAUAUAUGGUUAAAUGCUUAGGAAAUAUCAUUAUUGAUUUUGUCUAUUUUUAUUUUCAUUCCUAAUUUUGAUCUUAAAUUAGUAAAAACCAAAUGUCACCAUUGUUUUAUAAUCAAAUUCUAUUUAGCAUUUUAACAUUCAAAUAACUCAUGACGUCAGAAAAUAUUUUUCAUAAGAUAAUUCAAAUAAUUGGACAGUUUAUCCAAACAAUAUAAAACAUUAAAUUUUCAUUUAGAAUAUUUUACUCAAAAAAAUUUUGUAUCAUAGUAAGUCAUUUUCCGGGUAUAAAAUGGACUUUGAGAUUAACCAGUCUAAAUAAAUUAAUAGUAACAUAAUUAAUUAAAAUUUGACUUGAAUAAAAAAUUAUUUAAAUGAAGGUAAUUUGAAAAUUACAAUUAUAAAUUAUUGGUAAAGAGUGUUAAUAGAUAAUUAAGAGUACCAAUAACCCACCCUUAAUUUAAUUUGUUAAAUAAAAGAAAUCAACUUGCCCCGUGGCAUGUGUAGAAAAAUAGAGUAAAAAAUGGAGUGUAUUUCAAUUCUCAAAUUUUGUAAAAAUUAUUAUCACAAUUAAAAGUGUUCAAGCAUCGAGUUACUUGUACUUGGUCAUUGAAUUUUAGGUUUGUGCUCGAUUCGAUUUGAUUUUAUUGAAUUAUUGCAUUGAUAAAGAAUAUAUUUUUAUUUAAUUUUAACUUUAAAGUACUAAUAUAAAAUAAUAUUUUAUUGUUUUAAUAAAAAAUAGUUUAAAUGGAGAAUGAAAGGCACAGUAUGGACACGUGUCACAACGACUUCUAAGGUGAAAUAGUAAAAAGGAAGAAAAAGAACAAGAGAAAGAGUUUUCCAUUUUUGUUGUCUGGAAAUUAAAUGUAAAGAUAAAACUAUUUAUAUGUGCCACAAAUUUUGUUGCCUUUUAAAGCGGUGCCAUAAAACCGGGCAACGGCCUUUUCUUUGCUCUUCAAAGAUGGCAGCUGAGAAAACACAGGAGAAAAAUAAGGAGCAGUGACAGAUUUGUGUUUUCAUUCUGUUUCUCAAUACCUUUUGAUUUAUUUAUUUUUUAUUCUUUAUUUCCCUCUCUAAUUCAGAUUAAAUCCUACACUUUCUUUCAACCUUUUCCUGGAAAUCUUACGAAAUCGGUAGUAGUACAUCAGACAACUUAGAAGAUUCUCAUAUGGAUAAAACUGUACAAACUGAUGAUCAGAAGGAAGAACUGCCCAAGGAUGAGAAAGAAAAAACAAAUGAAACAGAGAAGGCAGAAGGUGGAGGCGAAAAUGGUGAAGGAAAGAUUGAAUAUGAAAAGAAAACAGAUGAGGAAAGCAUGAAUGCUGAAGAAAAGAAAGAAGAUUUGAACAAACUAGACGUGGGGAUGAAGAAUGAUGAAGGAAAGGAAGGAGAUGUGAAGGAAAUUAAUGAGGUGAAGAACGAUGGAGCAAGGAAAGAAGAUGUUAAGAAAAUAAAUGAGAUUGAUAAUAGUGACGCAGAGAAAGAAGUUGAAGAGGUGAAGGAUGGUGAAGCAAAGAAAAAAGAUGAGGAAAAUGAAGGUAAAGCAGUAGAAGAGAAACAUACUUCUGAGGGUGUCAAAGAAAGAGUUGUUAAGAUAGAUCAAAAUCCAACGUUUGUUGAGGAAAAUGGUGAAUUGAAUAAGAAUGAGAAAGCUGACGCAGAGGAUGUUUCAUCAUGUAAUGUUAACGUGAGUAGUUUGUCAUUCAAGGAAGAGAGCAACCUCUUCUCUGAUCUAAAACAGAAUGAAAAGAAGGCAUUGGUGGAGCUUAGAUCAAAAGUUGAGGAAGCCAUAAAUGGAAAUCAAUUGUUCAAAGUAAAGGAAAGUGAUGUCCAAGAGCGAAAUGAAGAAAAAUCAUCGGAAAAUAGUGGUGAAAAGGAAAUGGAAAAACCAAAAGAAAAUGAAGGUAAAGAAGAUGUCGGAGAUGAGGGUAGUGAGGCAAAUUCAUCCAUGGAAGAGAACAAAGAUGGUAUGCAGGAAGGCCCGGAAAAAGAAAGGGUCGUUGCAGAAGCUGAAGAGAAGAAAGUGCAGGAUCAGGCUAUGGAUGGAAAAGGGGAUUCCAUUGAUAAGGAUAUCAAACUUUGGGGAGUCCCAUUAUUGCCUAGUAAGGGAGGUAAGGCAACCGAUAUUGUGCUAUUGAAAUUCUUGAGGGCUAGAGAGUUCAAGGUCAUCGAUGCCUUCGAGAUGCUGAGGAACACCCUUCAAUGGAGAAAAGAAAACAAUAUUGAUUCCAUCCUAGAUGAAGAUCUUGGCAAUGAAUUUCGCUCCACAGCAUACAUCAAUGGCAGUGAUCGCCAAGGCCACCCGGUAUGUUACAAUGUUUUUGGGGUGCUUGGCGGUGAUGAGAUGUUCAGUAAAACAUUAGGGACGGAAGAGAAUCGUGACAAGUUUGUAAGGUGGAGAGUGCAACUGAUGGAGGAGGGAAUUAAAAAGCUUGAUUUUAAUGGCGUCUCAUGUUUGCUGCAAAUCAUCGAUCUCAAGAACACCCCAGGACCCUCAAAGAAGGAAGUUCGGCUUAUCAUGAAACAAGUGAUUAGCCUUCUCCAAGACAACUAUCCUGAAUUUGUUGUGAAAAAUGUAAGCAUUUCUUCACUUUCAAUUCAUGCUACUUGUCCCAUCACUUAAUUUGUCUCAAAUAUUUCUUGACAUGACAUAUAGUAAUUAAAUACAAUUUAUGAGAAAUUCAAUUAAUUCAUAAAUAAGAUAUUACAAUCAAAUGAAUAUCAUCAAGUGAGAAAUUAAAAUUUUAAGAUAAAGACGGUGAAAUAUUCCCUAUCAAUUCUUAAUUUGAUUCCCAAUUAUUAUUCCCUUUUAUCUCCCCUUGUUCAAAUCCAAAAAUUUUGGUUCACCUAUAAUUUGAUUCAUAUCAUUUUACUCACUCUAUAUGUAUAAUUGAUAGACCAGUUUUUUCCUUUGUAGAUCUUCAUCAAUGUUCCUUUCUGGUAUUAUGCAUUUGCCGCCUUCUUUUUACCUUUCUUAACCCAAAGAACAAAGAGCAAAUUUGUGUAUGCUAGGCCAGCAAAAGUCAUUGAAACCCUUCUCAAGUAAGAGUUAAUUUUCUCAAGGUCCUUAUACAUAUUUUAAUUCAAUUCAUUGGAGACUAAUCUACUCUAGUGCUUUGGUUGGUUCCAGGUACAUUGAUGCAGAAGAAAUACCAGUAUGCUAUGGCGGCCUCAAACGUGACAACGAUUCUGACUUCUCGGCUGAAGACCAUGCAGAGGAAGUUCUUGUCAAAGCAAGCUCAACGGAAACAAUUGAGAUCCCUGCACCAGAGGUAAAUGAACUAGUAUCUUGAAACAACACUAAUAGUGGGAAAUUAUUAGAUCACCUAUGAUAUUACUAAAGCCAAUUGUUUUAUGGAAAAAGCAGGCAGGGAGUGUUCUGAUCUGGGACUUGGUCGUGUUGGGUUGGGAAGUGAACUAUAAGGAGGAAUUUGUGCCGGAUGAUGACAAGUCUUAUACCAUUAUUGUUCAGAAGGAAAGGAGAAUGGGGAUUCAGGAAGGACCGAUUCGGAAUUCUUUCAAGAAUAACGAGCCUGGAAAGAUUGUUCUCGUAAUAGGGAAUGCACCGUUCAAGAAUAAGAAGCGUGCUUUCUAUCGAUACAAAAUCAAGAAUGUUAGCUCAGCAUCCUGAGGUUCCAAUGAUUAUAUAUAUAUAUAUUAUAAGUUUUAGUUAAGUAGAUUGGUCAAAGUUUGAAUUGAGAUAUGCAGGAUAAAGAGGAACAAAAUUAAGCCAUUUAACUUUGGCAACCAUAUUUCUUUUCAACUUGUAUUAAUUUCAAUUUUGUUCCUUAUUCUUUCUUUCUUUCUUUCCCCCUUCUUUUAUUCAUUGUUUGGUGCAAUAUAUAGUAAGGUAGGAGGAGUUGAUUAUUUUGUGAAAACCUUAAAUCAUGAAUACUAUAUUAUAUUUGCUUAGUCUUCUCUUCGCAAUUGUCUUUUUAAAUGGUUAUCUAUACUACAUAUUAUCUCUAUUAAUAUAUAACGUGGUGUGAUAAAGUUAUUGUCUUGAUAUAAUGAGUUUAUUAAGAGUAUAUUUGGCCUGACUUUUUUUUAGCUUAAAAGCCAUUAUAAAAUUCUUAUAAAAAAUAAUAGUUUUUAAAAUUAAGUUAAAGCUGUUUGAUAAAUUUACUUUUUAAAAGCUCUUUUUCAUAGAUAUAUUAUUUGGCGAAACAACUUAUAUAAAUUUUGAUUUUGAUUAAAAUUACUAUAAAAGGUAUUUAAUAAAUCAGGAGAAAAAAAUUGAAUCAAAUAAAAAAAAGAUGAGUGUGACAAAAAUAUAAUUUCCCUUAUAAUAUUAUGAAUUACUGAAAGAUAAAAGAAGAAUAUAAAAAAAUAUUUGUUGUUAUUUCUUAAAAAUUGGCUUGAAAUUUAUGAUCUCUGGAACUGAACAAAAUUGAUAUUACAUACAAGGAAGAGAACCUAAGGUGGUAUUAAUAAUGGAUCCAAUUGGGUCAAGAAAAUCACGUUUAGCCAUUGACCCAUUUUCCUAUUGAUAUCAUCAACGCUAAUUCCAUGAAAGUCUAUCAAGGUCAUGAUAUUCUCACCAACAAAGUUACCCUCCAUGAACAAAAAAGUCUUGGCUUUUAUAUUUUUCUCAUUUUUUAAUGGGUUAUUUAUUUUGUGAAGGAAUGCCACAUCAUCUGUUGAGUACUGUUGGCUCAAAUGUGAAAUUUACUGCUAAAAUCAGAGCGGGCCCUUGGGUGAAGCCACCCAAGCAAGGGCUUUAGCCCCCAAUUUGGGUAGGCCCCAAAUGUAUGGAGGAUUUAUAAUUUUAUAAUAAUUAUAAUAUAAUUAAUUAUAUUAAAAAUAUAUAAAAAUUAAAAAAAUAGAAAAGUAAAAAAUAAUUAAUAAAAUUAUUUGUUCUCUCACUUUUUAAUUAUGUGCCUAAUAAAUCUCAAUUUUCUAUCACUUUCUUAUUUCUAGAAUGCUAUUAAUUCUCAACUAUAUUCUUUUAUUUCCAAUCAACUAAUGGUCAUAUGUAUUUAAUCAUUUCCAACAGUUAUUUUUUUCUCACUUAUUUCUCUUAUUUCCAAUAAACUCAUUAAUGAUUUUCAAUAGCUAUUUUUUUUCCUAUAUAUAAAACCAAUUAUUUUUUUUCAAUGUAUAAUAUCUACUGUUGAAUUCUUUUUUUCUCAUUUGCUCUUUCUUCCUUUAACUUCAAUUUUUCUCUAAAAAAUACACAAGAAGUCUGUUCUUUUAUUAUCUUCAUAAAGUUGUAAACCUCAUUUGCGGUUUGCAAUAAGCAUUCAACAAUUAGGUACUAUUGUUCUAAUAUUUACAGAUUUUUUUACUUUAAUUUAGAGUUUAUAUUAUAUUGCUAUAUUACUUUUAUUCUAAUAUUUUUUUUAAUUUCAAUAAAGAAAAGCCUCAUUUGAAUAUUUCGCUUUAAACUUUUGAACUUAUUGAGCCGUCUCUGGCUAAAAUGUUCAGGGAUUUUACAAUUUUUGUUGUCAAAGGAAUUAAAGUCUAUUUUAAUUUUCUUGUAGUGCAGCCUAUUGUUAUAUCUAAAAGAAAAAAUUCUUUAAAACUGAGUUACCACAAACAAGUAAAAAUAUUGACUUUUCAAUUUUCAUCUAAUUUAUCUCAACAUCCAUUGAUCUAUUUGACUAAUUAUGUCAAUCAUAAUUAACAAAUAAAAUAUACACCAGAAAGAAGUUAAGAACAAAUAAACAUCACAUAAUUAUCAUAUCAAACAAUAAAUUAAAAAAUAUCAAACAAUAAAGAGAGUUUUCAAAACAAAAAAAAAGCACGAUAGAAAAUAAAAUGAAAAACAAAACAAAGAAAAAAAAAAACCUGAAUGCAGUUUUGAAUUUUGGAUUUUCUUUUCCCUUAAUUUUUAAAAGAGGAGAGAAGAGGGAGAUUGAUAGGGAGAAAGAGGGGUAUUUUUUGAGAGAAAACUUUUUGGAAAAAAAUAACUCUCCUAAGAAGCUAGCAUGCUUUGUUUCUAAAAAGAAAAAAAAAAGAAAAGAAAGCUCUUAUUUGGAGGUUUUUUUAAGCUAUUUUUUAAAAAAAUUGUUCUUUAAAAAAAAGCUACUUUUUUUCUAAGAGCUUAUCAUAAAAUAUUGCUUAGCCCAACUUCUACUUUUAAGAAGUAGAUAAGUUGAAAAUAAACUAGGCCAAACAGACGCUAAAUUUUGAAUUUCAUUGAUAAAAUUACUCACAAACCAAAUAUAUUGACACUAAAUCUAUAUAAGUAUAGAUAAACAGGUAAUUUGAUUUGCUAUGUACUAAUUACGAUUAAGGUCUCAUAUUCAAUUAUGUAGACACUAAAUUAUAAACAAGAAAAAUUAAAAAUAUAUAAAAAAUUAUAUAUAUAUAAAAAAUGAAAAAUGAAAAAAGAAAGGAGAGAGGUACGACUGGCAGGGUGCGGACGCACCCUGCCAGGCACCUCUCUCACCUGCCAGACGCGAAUUUUUCGCGUCUGGCAGGGUAGUGGAAUUGCCCCCCUGAUGCCCAGGGACAAGGCAAUGGAGAGUGCCCCCUCCAGAGCCCAGAAAUCGGGUAUAAAUGGGAGGGGGAUCCGAGCAACCAAAGGGGGGAGCCAAAAAAUAGAGAACAAAAAACAGAGAACCUACAACAAGAAAAAAUCCCAGCAGCCACACCAAAAAAUCCACAAUGAGCACUGAAAAAUCAAUCAAAAAAAAGAAGGAAAAUAGGAAUUGAUUCUUGAGAAGGGGGUUUUUUUUUUAUUUGAUUUUGGGGAGAAGAUCUAGAGAGAGGCGGAGCCGUGAUCUGCUGCCGGCGCAAGAGGAAGAAGAGCUGAGCAGAGGAAUAGAGAAGGAGAGAGGCGGAGUCGCGAUCUGCUGCCGACGCAAGAGGAAGAAGAGCUGAGUAGAGGAAUAGAGAAGGAGAGAGGCGGAGCCGCAAUCUGCUGCCGGCGCAAGAGGAAAAAGAGCUGAGCAGAGGAAUAGAGAAGGAGAGGGGUGGAGCUGCAGCACCAACCGACGGAAAGGAAGAGAGCCAGGCUUGGGUGUUUGACGAGAAGAAAGAAAAGUAAGCAAAAAAGAGAGAGAGCUUUUCUCCUCAGGGCCGAACGACGCCGUUUGUUGUCCCAUGGAAUGCUGUGCAAAGCUAAACAGUGUGUCUAGCAACAGCCGUGGUCAGCUUAGUUGUGUUGAGGCUCAUUCAACUUAAUCAGGUAAGGAAAAUUUAACUUCUUUGCAUAAUGGAUUUGUGAUUAUUUAAUUGCUUGGGUAUUAUGAUUUGAUUUGUUUGAGUUCAACUCACAGCAUUUAAUCUAAGCUUCAUAACUUGAUGCUAAAAGGUUGAUUCGGAAAUAUUUUUUUUUCUUUACAAAGUCCUAAAAAGGAAAUUUUCUAGAGAAUGUCUUCAAGAUUAAGAUUAAAUUACUUCAUCACAAUGCUCUAAAAGUUUUAGAUAUGAUUUGCAGGUUUAAGGAGAUAAUAUAAUUAGAGGAUUAUAAAUAUGUAUAAAUAUGAAUAUAAAUAGGGGCGUGAGAAAUAUUUAUGUAUACUAAAAUAUAUAUAUAUAUACAUACAUAUAUAUAUAUAUACAUAUAUAUGUAGUGAAUAAAAAUAAUAUUGCAUCAAGUAUGAAAAUAAUUAUGAUAUGGUAGGUAAGAGAAUCAACCUUAGAGAAUUAACUCCUAAGAAAAAUAUCAUGACAUUAUGGACAAGUAAACAAUGCCGAUGAUGGGAUAAUCGUUCGGGAUGCGAGAAGUCGUAAUCCCGAGCUUAUGUUCCCUAGGCUCGGAAUCCGAAUCAAGGCUCCACCAGUACGAUGGGAGGGCCUCGAUUUCAAGAUUCCGGAAUUCUUAAUACAUAAGGAGUUUGAUUGUAUAAAAAAAAUUACUCGAUAAAAAUAAUAAACAAAUACUAAAUGAUAAAAAAAAUGAUAAAAUAAUAACAAUUCAAACGUAUAAUAAAUAAUUAAUUUGAAAAUACAAUAUACAUAAUACUAAAUAAAUAAAAAUAAAUAAAUAUAUAAUAGUAAAAAAUAACUAAUUCAAAAUUAAAUAUUGAGCAUUAAGUGGCAUAAACUAUAAGAAAUGUGAAGAUAAAGAUAAAAAAUAAUAAUAAUAAGAAAUAAGAAUAGGAAAUAUGAUAAUAAAAUAUAUAAUAAAAUAAAAAUAAUUAAUAAUAACAAAAAAUAUAGAUUAUUGCAUAGCAUAUAUGUAUUGCAUCAUACAUAUCAUUGCAUAUAAAUAUUUCUGUUUUCGAGUUUAAGCCCCGAUGAUGGGAUCUUUCGGGGAUCCUGCGAAGGCGGGUAUUUCUCGAAAAGUUCCUUAGGUGAAAAGAUGUCCUUGGGUCCCACCAGUAUGAUGGGAGGGCUCGAGAACCAUCUUUAAUAAAAGGCUUUUGCCCGAAUUAGGUCCAUUAUGCACAAAAAUAUUAUUUUAAAAAAAAGAAAGCGUACGAUGACCCCGAUGACGGGAAUUAUUCGUCGAAUUUGCGAAGGCGAGUUUCUCGGAUAAUUCCCUAGGUGAGAGAAUAUCCCAAGUCCCACCAGUAUGACGGGCGGAUUUGGAAAAUAUCCUCGAUAAAAGGUUAUUUGUCCGACAUUUUUAUCUCACGCCAUGCAUUUCAUCUCGCCACCCAUUUACAUUCCAUUUUAGGUUAAAUAGGAGAUAAAAUAAAAAAUAAUAAUUAAGGAAAUCUAGUGAAAUUAAAAAUUAAAGCCCAAUAGGAUAAUCUAAAAAUGGUACCGUUCAUAGAACGGGAGUAUGAGGGAUGCUAAUCCUUCCCCGGGCGUAACCGUACUCCCGAACCUAGAUCCAGGAAAUUGUAGACCAGUCUAAGGUUCUUUUCGGUGGGCUUAAAAUUAAUUUAAGUGUUCAUCGAUUAGAAUCGAGUCAAUAGGUGGCCAAUCGCACCUAGUAAAAAAGAUUGGUGGCGACUCCUAGUUUAAUUUUUAGUGAGUUUUCACACCCACGUCUAGCGGUCGGGUUCCCGGGCCCGCACGUUACGACAAAGUAAAACUUCUUUUGGAUCUAUUUUUCAAAUCCCAUUAUGUUGUAACUACUAAUUUUUCUCCUUUUAAGUUUUUACUUUUUCCGAUACAACUUUUUCCUUUUAUUUCGCCCCAUGUAGUUAUUGUGUGUAGAAUUAGACACCAACUUAGUUAGUAUCACAAUUACUUAAAAAUCAAAUAAAAUUAUAUAAAAAAAAUAUAAAAUUAUGGACAUACACCCAUUAUGUGAGUCACACUAAAAAAAAAGACUUUUAUUGAUGUAAUUAUUUGUCGAUAAAGGUUAAAAAUUAAUCAUAAUCGUAAACACUUACGAAUUACCGAUGAAAUUUUUUGUCAGUAAUUAGUCGGAGAUAUCCUUGUUGGUAAUGGAUAAUGCAUUGGUGUCUUCACUCUCUAUCGGUAAUUAUCGACAACAAUACUUUGUCGAUAAUUUUGUCAGUAAAGUAGUGAUUCCAUAUGUAAUAUUAAUUGUUAAUUUUCAAUGAACUCCGUUGGUAGGCAAAAAUAUACAUUGGUAAUCCUUGCUAAAAAUAAAUAAAAAAUAGAUAUAAAAAUACCCAUAGAUAACAUCAAAUUUAAUUCCCCGUUUAGACUUCAAAUGAAUAAUAAGAAAUAAAAAUAAAUAAUAAUAUGAAAAAAUAUUUUAUUUUAAUAAAACCAAUAAAAAAUACAAAUUGUAUUAUUCUAUAUACAAUGAAAAAGAAUAAGAAAUCCCAUCAUUUCAUAACCCACAAAUCUAAAACAUACAAAUCUAAUUAAGUACCACCAUCACCCUUCGGUUGCGCCUUUGGAUGAUUAGGCUAGCUUGGCUGCUGUGAUGAAAGAUCCCGAGUGCUUUGUUGGCACCAUAAAUUGGAGGAUGUGCGUUAUGCUCAACUUCAUAUUAAGCAUCUCAUCACUAAUGGAGUCAACUUUUACCUUCAAUGCUUGUAGUUCCUCAAGGAUCUGAUUGAAAGGCAACUAAAACAUUGCCGACCACAAGCAGAAUCUGACGUUCGAGCUCCACCAAGCAUUGAUGCAGGCAUGACCUUGAUACCAAACUUGUCCAUGCUUGCGAAUCGAACUUUGGCUAGGAUGAUAGCUCUCAAUCAUACUUCUACGAUAAUACUUCUAUGAUAAUGUAAAAGCAUAUGUUUCCUAUAAAAAAACUGAAAUGAAUUAAACAUUAAAUUGUUAAAUGAUAAUAUAAUGAAAUAUAAAUGGGUCAUUCUUUUUAAUUACACUAAUGGUUUAGACUUCUUGUCCCACAAACUCUUUCCUACCGUUCAUUUGCUUGUGGGUGUGAUUGAAUAGUUCAAAGAAUCACUACCAAAAAUACGAGCUUCAUUGAUGAAAAAUUAUGUUGGCACGUGGUCAAAAAUACCCUUGUCGUUAAUGGCCACUUUGUCGGUGAUGAAAUAAUCUAUCAAAAUAUUCUCCAACAACAUAUUUUAUCAGCAAUUUUUGUCAGAGAAAUAGCAAAACCGUUGGAGAUAGAUCUAGUCUACGAUAAAACAAUUUCAUUAGAAAAUUUUGUUGGUAAACUACAAACCAAGUUACUAACGAAAUAGUCGAUGGAUUGAAUGCAAACCUUAUCAUCAUAUUCUGUCGGUAAAAAGUGUGAAUCCAUUGUGUUAGCUCUAUAGCAUUCAAAUCAAUUCCUUGUUUUGAAAUGACAAAAAGAAAUUGAUCACAAUUCAUCUAAGUCUUGGAAUAUCAAGUCCAAAUAUCUUCUAGCAUUUUCAAAUGAGUUUGAGAAGGAAAACAAUGAAGAAGAACUUUAAAAAUGCAUUCUAGUCCAAAUCUAUUGAUACAUGUUCUUCAUGUAUCUAUAUAUUUAGACAAGUAUCGAUAGAUUGUGUAAUCUAUCGAUACAUGUUCUUGUAAAAAGUCAAAAUUUAAAAUGUCAAACUCAAGCUAUCGAUACAUUUGAGUCUAUCAAUACAUUCUCAAAUGUAUCAAUAGAAUUGCAACAAAAUACUUGCUGCCUCAAAAGUAUUGAUACAUUGACAAAUGUAUCGAUACGUUUUAAAAAAAAUAUCAAAACCCUUGCAAGCAAGUUCAAAUGUAUCGAUCCAUGCACAAAUGUAUCAAAACAUCAUAAUGGGAAUUCAAAAAUAAAAGAGGGAAUGUUUCCAUACAUUCACAUAUGUAUCAAUACAAUAUGACCGUUAAAGCUUUGAAUGUAGUGAAGAAUGACUAUUUUCUCAUUAAAUGUAGUCUCAACUGCCCUUGAAGCUUCAGCAAAUAUAAAUAAAAGCUUCUUCAGCAUUUAUGAAGGUUGGAAGACUUUGAAACAUAGCUCAAAUGAGAAGAAUUUGGCAAAAAUCAUUUAAGACCCUUUGUACUCAUUUUUCUAAUCCUUAAAAGCAUUUAUUGAGCCCUCAUUCCUUCAUUGAACAUUUUACCUAAUUUGUUAUUCAACCUUUAAGAGGCAACUAGUUGUUUUUAUAUUCUUCUUAUUGUACUUGCUUAAGUGGUUAUAUCUUAACCAAUAAUAGAGGUAGAGUGGUUGUGCUUUAAACAUAAAAAGGUAGUGCAUUGAAAGGUUCUGCUUGAUCUAUAAAAGACAUUUUAUUGAACUUUGACUCAAUUGUGAAUUUUAAACUCAUUAGUGAAUCUAUGGGCGAGGAUGUAGGCAAGAAGGUUAAACCUCUCUAAAAUAUUUGUGUUGGUUUUUCUCUUCUUAUUUAACUUCUAAACUUUACUUGCAUUUCAAAUUUCUUUUAUUCAUUAAGAAGUCAACUAUCUUAUUUAUUUUCAUGUUGAGUAUUUAAAUUUAAAAAGGGAUUCUAUUUCUUACAAAUUGAAAAAGAAUCUUCAAAAUUUCAAAACAAUCCAAUUCACCCUUUCUUGGAUUUAUUCACAUUGAGCUUAUUGAACUAACAAUUGGUAUCAGAGCUAGGGCUCAAUGCUGCAAGAUUAACAACCUUGAGUGAUCUAAAAACAAAGCUUAACACAUCAAGAUGGAAUCGACCUCAGUUAUUCUUAGUGAAGGACACUCAACUCAAAGACCUCCAUUCUUCUUAGAUGCACACUAUCCUUAUUGGACGAAAAGAAUGGACAUGUUCAUUUAAUCAGUCGAUCUUGAUGUUUGGAAUGUUAUCUUAGAUAGUUUAUAUGUCCCCACUAAGGAUGUAGAUGGAAUAACAAUUAUAAAAACUAAGAAAAAGUGGGAUGAUAAAGAUAAAAAGUUAAUAUAAACAAAUUACAAGGCAUUCAAUACACUUAUUUGUUCUCUAAGUGCUAGUGAAUUCAAUAGAGGAUGCAUGUGUGAAACUGCUAAACAAAUUUUGGAUACCUUAGAAAUAACUAAUGAGGGAACAAACCAAGUUAAGGAAUCCAAGAUUGGACUUCUCACACAUGAUUAUGAGCUAUGUAGGACGAAAGAAAAUGAGAUCAUAAAUCAAAUGUAUGAAAGAUUCACAAACAUAGUUGAAGGAUUGAAAGCCUUAUGAAAAGACUUCCCAAAUGCUCAAUUAGUCAAGAUACUUUAUAGUCUCCCUAAGUCAUGGAGACUAAAAGUGACAGCCUAGAGGAAGCAAGAAACCUAUAUGAUUUUAAGUUAGAGGAGCUUAUAAGAUCUCUACUUACCUUUGAGAUGACAAUAAAACAUGAAAAUAUUUAGGAUGAUGAAAAGAAGAGGAUAAUAAAAAGAAAGGGAUAGUUGUAAAGUUUAAUAUUGAAUAAAAUGAGAGAAACAUGAGAGAUGAGGAUAUAACGAUGAUAGCCAAGAGUUUUAAGAAAUUUAUGAGAAAGAACUAUAGAGGUAGGAGACCUCCUAGAAGAGACAUGCCAAACGGGGGACAUAGCAAAGACCAUUUAAUUGUUAUGAGUGCAGAAAAAUGGAACACACUAAAUAUGAAUGCCUAAACAAGAAAAGUGCUCUAAAGAACUUCAAGAAGAAAGCCAUGCUUGCCACUCGAAGCAAUAGUGACAACUCUCAAGAUGAAGAAGAUGAAGUUACCAACUUUUGCUUUAUGGCACUUGAAAAUUCCAAGGUAUGCUCUACCUCUCAUGAUUCUAAUUCAUGCACCUUAUAUCAAGACUCAUACUCAUUUGAUGAACUACUAGAUGCAUAAGAUGACUUAGUAUUUGAAUUUGAAGAAAAGACAUUAAAAUACAAGAACACCAUAUCUAAACUUAGAGUGGAAAAUGAGUUCUUAGUCAAGACAAAAAUAGAAUUAGAAAACAUAGUCAAAGACUUGAAAAUUGAGAAAAAUGAGCUGAAAAAAAAAGAAUGAGAAUUUGCAUGCAACCUUUUAAAAUUCAACAUGAGUCAAGAAAAAUUAAAUGACUUGCUAGGAACACAAAGAGCUUUCUUUGACAAAGAAAGAAUAGGCUAUGAUGGUAUUCAAAAGGAAACUCAUUUUAAAAAUGUUUUCAUUAAAGAAAAUGUAAAAUUUGACUCAUUCACCAAAUGCAUUUAUUGUCACAAAAUAGGACAUUCUACCUAUUCUUUCCUUUUGAGAACUACCACUUUUAGAGAUAACAAAAUCAAAAGUGUAUGGGUUUCAAAAGGAACCAAACCUCCACAUGGUAAAGUAGUAAAAUAGGAGUGGGUUCCAAAAGGAACUAAACCUCCACAUGGUAAAGUAGUAAAAUAGGAGUGGCUUCCAAAAGGAACCAAAGACACUAACUGUAAAACCCGACCCUAUAAAUACAUGUCAUGACAUACAUGUACUGAGUAGCAUGUUAUUAUGCUAGGAAAGCACCUAAGAAAAGACGAAACCCGAUAUCGUACCUAACGGUACACUUGAGUUGAUUUAACCUGGAACUAGUUCAAAUAGGAAUUUUAGGAUGAAAUUUAAUAUUUUAUAGUCCAAGAAUGACUAAAAAUUAUUGUUCGGAGUUCGAGGGUUCAUUUGGGGUAAAAUUGGAAAUUUUGAUAUUCAAUGGCAAAAUCGUCAUUUUGCCACCUAAGAUAAUAAUUUGAUCAUGGAGUGAAAUUUUUUACCAAGAUUAACUAUUUGGAGUAAAUUUUNAAGCAAUUAAAAUUAAGAAGUAGACUAUUUUCGAAAAUACUUUUUUUUUUAGGGCUAAAAAAAAUCAUCCUCAGAAAUUAAAUAAUGAUUAGAAAUUAAAGAGGAGAGAUAUCAAAAAAUUCAAUUAAUUCAAUUUUAAACAUGUAUUUAUGAAUAAUUGACUUAUAAAUCGGUAGAUCUCAUUCUUAAGUUUAUGUAACAAAUUUUUGCAACAUCCAGGCAGAAAAAAUUUAAGUUAGGAAAAAACUCAAAAGUGUUGGACAGGUAGAAUUAUUUUAUUAAAAUCAUAAUAUUUUCAGAUUUUUUAUCAUUGGAAUUCAAGGAAUUAACAUAGGUACAUUAAUGUAAGUAGGUAGGUAUGUAGUAUUUAUACAAAUAAAAUCGCUGUGAGCAGGUAUGCUUGCAUUAGUCAAGCAUAUACCCGCCCGGUGGUAAAGGGAGAGCCGUGGAAGUGUGGUAAAAGCCUUAGGAAAUUUGAUGUGAAAAUGAGAAACACAUUUCUUAUUUCUUUUGGUUAGUUGAAGUAUGAAAUAAAGAUAACAUCAAUAAUGGUGAUAUUUAUGCUCUCUAAUUGCGCCUAUAAAAGGUUCAUUCUCACAAUCCCAGCUGCACCAAAACUGCCAAAUCUUCUCCAAAAAGUGGCCAAGAACACCACCACCACCACCACCAACGACAACAAGAACAUCCCAAGCCAAAAAGAAAGGAAAGCAAUAACAUAAAAAUCGACAUGUCUUCUCUCCAGACAACAAUGACCUCCAAUUUCAGUUCAAAUUGCGACGAAUUUCGAUGGGUGAUCAACAUUCGUAGAUUCCUUGAUGAAGAGCUAGAAGAUGAUAUUGAAAUUCCGGUCUCUAUCUUUAAUGUUCCGAAAGCACUGAUGUCCAGUAGCCCUGACUGUUACACCCCGCAGCAGGUUGGUAUCAGUCCUUAUCAUUAUUGGCGACCAGACCUUUAUGAGAUGGAGAGAUAUAAGCUAGCUGCAGCGAAAAGAACCCAAAAGCAAUUGCAGUGUCCUACAUUUGAAGAUCUUGUUGAACAACUGGAACAGGUUGACCCAAGGAUUCGAGCUUGUUAUCACAAGUACUUGGAUCUGGAUUCUGAAACUUUAGCUUGGAUGAUGGCCAUUAGUACGUCAUUUUUGCUCGAGUUUCUUCAAAUCUAUGUUUUCCAUGAAGGAAAGACUUUAUCAUCAGAAGUGUGCUCGAGAAUGUCCCAUUUGGUUGAUCAUGCAGGAGCAAAAUCAGCUCACAAUUCGAUUCUCAGAGACAUUAUGAUGCUUGAGAAUCAGAUUCCAUUGUUUGUACUGCGAAAGGUGCUAGAAGUCCAAUUCUCGUCGUUGGAAGCAGCCGAUGAUUUGUCGCUUUUGAUGUUAAGGGGACUAUGUCGAGAGCUCUCCCCUUUCAAAAUGAUGAAGAACUUGCCAAAGAUUGAUAUCUCCAAGUGUCCUCAUGUUCUAGACUUCCUGUACAAUAUGAUCGUGCCGAAACUGGAAGAACAGUCCGAACCAAUCCAACAACCGGAGGAUCAAAAUAAAGAAACCACAAAAGACAAACAAAGCAAUCCUGUGCUGGACUCAAGUUAUGCGAAGUGGCUCUUGAGUGAGAUAUGGAAGAUGUUCUCAACUAUGAAUUGUGCUCCAACACGGCUAAUCAAAGCAGCCCUGAAGUCCGGACCUGUUAGACUCAUACUUAACUUGCCCUGGAAAAUCCUCUCUAACCUCCCUGGAUUUUCGAUCCUGAGAAAACCAAUCGAGUACUUAUGCUUCAUAAAAGAGAAGGAAGAAGAGGUUAUAUCAUCUGCAAGCAAUUUCAGCAUCCAUAAACCACCUCUUAUAGAGGAGAUCGCAAUCCCUUCCGUAGCUGACCUCUCAAAAGCUGGUGUCCGUAUUUUGCCAACUAAUGGUAACAUUUCAACCAUCAGUUUUGAUGUCACGACUGUUACUUUAUACCUCCCCAUGGUCUGCUUAGACAUUAACACAGAGGUUGUCUUGAGGAACUUGGUGGCAUAUGAAGCAUCAAAUGCGUCAGGGCCUCUAGUGUUUACUCGCUAUACUGAAUUAAUGAAUGGGAUUAUUGAUACUGAGGAGGAUGUCAAAUUGCUAAGAGAAAGGGGCAUUAUUCUGAACCAUUUGAAGAGUGACAAAGAGGCUGCAGACAUGUGGAAUGGGAUGAGCAAGUCCAUCAGGCUGACCAAAGUCCCUUUCUUGGAUAAAGUGAUUGAAGAUGUUAACAAAUAUCACAAUGGCAGAUGGAAUGUUAAAGCCACAGACUUCUUUAAGCAGUAUGUUUAUGGUUCCUGGCAGUUUCUCACAUUGCUGGCCGCAAUUAUGCUCCUGUUCCUGAUGACAUUCCAGGCCUUUUGCUCGGUUUAUAGCUGCUCUCAAGUCUUUCGAAUCCAAACCUCGGACUGACAUAUCUGGUGCAUCUUCAUGUAUACAUAAAUCAAGCUAAUAUAUAGGUAGGAUGUAAGACCUUGACAAUCAUUGGUUUCAUUGAUUGAUUAAUUAAUUUGGUUGUUGUUCCUAAUGGGACAGAUUGGAUUAAAAAAUGUUAUUCAUAUAUAUAUAUAUAUAUAGAUAUAUAUAUAGGUUUGCUAGAUUCUUAAUUGAAAUUAGGUUUCAUGUUUAGAUAAAUUAAAGCAAUCCGCUUUUCAGUUGAUUAAGGGUGGAGGAUAUAUACCUUAGCCUUUUAGGUUGAAGCUAUAGUGUUCUUGGACAGACUUAUCAUUAGAGGCUGUUCAGGAUUAUUUGGUAUUGUAAAAGAUUAUAAAGUGUACUGAUUAUAAGAUUAAUUCUCCAUUGUUUGCCUGAAUAAUAUAUGUUCAUUCAUUUCUCACCAUUUCCCUAGAAAUUACAUCAUCUGAAUAUAAGGUCACAGCGAACUCUAAAUUAAAGUAAUGUGAAAUAACAUCACUUGUAAGACAAGAAUCAUGAAAUUUAAUUAUUAGCAUAAAGUAAAGUAUUCCAUUAAAGAAAAGAAGGACCAGAUAAAAUGUUCUAGUCCAUUCCAAAAUUAAACUUAAGGUGGCAGAUUAAUAAAUUAAAAGGUGAAAAAGCAAAUCACUUCAUAAUUUAGAAGCAUUAAAAGCUGUAUACAUUAAAGCAUUAAAAAACAAUGUAUUGUUAGGUUGUUUAUGUUGCGCUAUUAAUUGACUGCAAACAAUUCGGAUAUUGUGCUAUUAAUUGGGAUUUGGUUUGCAAACAAUUGCUAUCAUUAUUAAUAUUAGCAAUGUGGAAAAUGGAAAAUGGAAACUUGAUGAAAAUAGGCUGUUUGAAGGAAGAUCGAUCAAAUAGAUCAUCUAGAUUGUAUAAGUAAAAUCAUUUAACUUAAUUAAAGUUUAGGGUAAUUAAGCAAUUAAUUAAAUGAGAAAAUUUAGAAUAAUUUAAAUUAGUUAAAUUAAUUAAGAUUCUAUUAUAGGGUUUUUAAAGAAUUUAACUAAUCAAAUUUAUAAAAAAAUGUUUUAAUUAGUAGUUUAGCAAUGGAAUAAAUAUUUUAUAUAAGUAAAUAAAAAAUUAAUUAAAUCAGAAAUAUGAUGCAUAAUAUUAUAUAUUUCAUUUAAAUUAGGGAUGUAUUAGUAAUUAACCAAUAAAUUAAAUUAUUAAAUUUAGAAAAAUUUAAAAUUAUUUAGCUUACUUAAGGUUUAGGGUAAGCAAUUAAUUAAAUGAGUAAAUUUAAUAAAAGUUAAAAUUAGUUAAAUGAAUUAAGGUUGUAGUUUGUGGUAAUUAAAGAAUUUAACUGAUCAAAAUAAUGAAUAAAUUUUUUAUUUUUUAUUUAGAAAUGAAUUAAAUUAGUAAUAUCACUUAAUUAAACAAUAUUUAAAUUAAUUAAGGUUUAGGUUAAGUUAAUUAAAUAUUACUAAAUAUUUUUAAAAUCAUUUAAAUUAAGUAAGAUUUUAAUAAAUUAAUAUGUUGGUAACAAAUAAAAUUUAAUAAUUCUAGUAUUUAAAUUGGAUUUUGUUUUCAAUUGAUAUUUGUGUUAACAUCUACUAACAUAUAAUUUUAUUAUAUAAAUAAAUUUAAGGUUUAGUUUUUUUUUAUAAUUAAGGGAGAGGGGAUUUGAACCCUACUUUUUAGGCAGAGGGAUUAUGCAUCAACCAAUGAGUUAAAUGCUCAGGUGCAAAUUUAAGGUUUAGUUAUAUAAAUUAGUUAACUAAAUUAGUAAUAUUAUUUAAUGUUAAAAAUAUUUAUGGUUUAGUGUUAUAAGUAACUUAGCAAUUAAUUAAAUAAGUAAUAUUAUAAAAGUUUAUAUUUAUUUCAUGUAUUUCUUUGAGUUUUGAUAGAUUAAAGUUCUAUAGGAAGAAGAGGUGGUCAUGUGACCUAGUUUAAAAAUGAAAGUUAUGUAAUACGUAUGAGUUAAUUUUUUUUCUCAAAUUAAGACUAAGAUUAACAAUUUAAGCUUUGGUUUCAAUAUUAGAGAAGUAAUGCUCUACAAAAGCUAAAGCUAUAUGGCUUCUUAUAGUGGUUAAAGAGAUGAGCGUCAUAGUAGCCUCAUCAACUUUAAGUCCAAAAAAUCCUUUUUUUCAAGGUAAUUACAAGGAAUGCUAUUGAUUACGUAAAACUGGUGAUUGAGAAAAGAUGACUCACCAGUUUUACAUAAUCAGUAGCAUUCCUUCAAAUUAUCUUGAAAAAAUGAUAUUUUCUAGACUUAAAGUUGAGGUUGCCAUGAUCUCUCUGGCCACUGUAGAAAGCCAUAACUUUAGCUUUUGCAGACCAUUUCUCCAAUAUGAAAUCCAAAGUUUAUAUUGUUAAUUUAAGUUUUAAUUUGAGAAAAAAAAUAAUUUGCUCAUGGAAUUACCGAUGAAAAUUUUCAUCAGUAAUACCAAUAGAUUUCUCCCAUUAGCAAUCGCAAAUUAACUGAUAGAUCGUGUCACGACCCGAAACCACCUUCGAGUCCGUGACAACCACCGCGAUGUCCCGACAGGCACUCAUCUUCUGAGUACCCUAUCGAGAUAUCGCAAGGCUCUCGUAUCAGUUCCUCACUUACCCUGUGAUUUACCGUUACAAAAAUCAUGUUUUAAAACAAUACAGAUCAUUUUUUUUGUCCAAAAAUAAUAAAAUUUUAAUUUCUACCUUACAGAGGCAUUUUUGUCAUUUUCGUCAAAAAUUUCGAGACAGGUUAAAAAUGUAAUAAUUAGGUAGAAAACGCAUAUUUCAUACUUAGAAAUAAGUUUUGAUAUCUAAAACGUUCAUUUAAAAACAAAUUGUUGACAACUAGUAUUAUUCAAAAAUAAUAAAUAAAUAUUCUAUUUUCUCAUAAAAAAAAUUUUUAUAGAAAUAUUUGUAAAUAAUUUUUUCGCACAUGAAAGUAAAGUAAAAAUUGUAUGAAUAGAAAUACAGAUAACCAAAAUAUAAGAUUUGAUCUGCAAUGACACGUAGGCCCCAAUGACCAAGAGGAGGUAAGACUGUGAACUCUUACUUUCUAUAAUACAGUUCCGAGCUUAGUUCUCGUCCUACUCGACUAUCUACAAGCUGUUCUGAGCCUGAAAAAUGCAUAGGAAGAAGGGGUGAGAUUUUAUAAUCCUAGUGAGAAAACAGAUACCAUCUAAAGUAUCUAAAGCCGAGUAAAUGGAGACAAUAAAAUAUCCCAUCCCAAUAUGCAUUUCAUAACUUAAAAAUUUAUUCCAUCCCAUGAAACCAAUUAUAAUUCAAUUAAAAUGAUUUUCAAGGCUUAUGUUUCUCAUCAAAUUUGGCUCAUGCCAAAACUCAUCCUCGGGAAUACUUGAUCGUCAUCAAAGCAUCCACUCGAGUUUCCCAAGGCUAUUAAAACGACUUAUUCAUAUAAAAUAGUUGUCCCUUGGCGUUGACUGAAUCUCACUUUCACGUGGUGGUAAAGCGUGAAGUGGACUCAAACCCCUCCACAAGAGUUACCUUACACGCCUCUCCCAUAGAGGUAAAAUAAAUUAGCCGGGUUUACCGAGCCCCUCUAAUAGGAUGGUCCAUGGAAACCCACCACUGCAGUGUAGGUCAGCCCCACCAUAAUCAUAAAAUAGUUUAACAACAUAACAAGGUAAUUUUUUUAUAAUAACUAAUUUGCACGACAAACCACAAUUCAUGUAAUUUCAAUACAAUAAACCAGCCAAGCAUGCUCACACUAUCAUAAGCCAUUUGAAUUAAAAAAACAAUUCAUACUUAACAACCACAGUCUCCAUGUACUCUAUUUAAAAAAAUAACAUUCAUCAUUAAUUUCAAACAAUUUAUAAUACCAUUUUAUAAAAACACAUUUAUUUAUAAAACACNNNNNNNNNNNNNNNNNNNNNNNNNNNNNNNNNNNNNNNNNNNNNNNNNNNNNNNNNNNNNNNNNNNNNNNNNNNNNNNNNNNNNNNNNNNNNNNNNNNNNNNNNNNNNNNNNNNNNNNNNNNNNNNNNNNNNNNNNNNNNNNNNNNNNNNNNNNNNNNNNNNNNNNNNNNNNNNNNNNNNNNNNNNNNNNNNNNNNNNNNNNNNNNNNNNNNNNNNNNNNNNNNNNNNNNNNNNNNNNNNNNNNNNNNNNNNNNNNNNNNNNNNNNNNNNNNNNNNNNNNNNNNNNNNNNNNNNNNNNNNNNNNNNNNNNNNNNNNNNNNNNNNNNNNNNNNNNNNNNNNNNNNNNNNNNNNNNNNNNNNNNNNNNNNNNNNNNNNNNNNNNNNNNNNNNNNNNNNNNNNNNNNNNNNNNNNNNNNNNNNNNNNNNNNNNNNNNNNNNNNNNNNNNNNNNNNNNNNNNNNNNNNNNNNNNNNNNNNNNNNNNNNNNNNNNNNNNNNNNNNNNNNNNNNNNNNNNNNNNNNNNNNNNNNNNNNNNNNNNNNNNNNNNNNNNNNNNNNNNNNNNNNNNNNNNNNNNNNNNNNNNNNNNNNNNNNNNNNNNNNNNNNNNNNNNNNNNNNNNNNNNNNNNNNNNNNNNNNNNNNNNNNNNNNNNNNNNNNNNNNNNNNNNNNNNNNNNNNNNNNNNNNNNNNNNNNNNNNNNNNNNNNNNNNNNNNNNNNNNNNNNNNNNNNNNNNNNNNNNNNNNNNNNNNNNNNNNNNNNNNNNNNNNNNNNNNNNNNNNNNNNNNNNNNNNNNNNNNNNNNNNNNNNNNNNNNNNNNNNNNNNNNNNNNNNNNNNNNNNNNNNNNNNNNNNNNNNNNNNNNNNNNNNNNNNNNNNNNNNNNNNNNNNNNNNNNNNNNNNNNNNNNNNNNNNNNNNNNNNNNNNNNNNNNNNNNNNUACUUUUUCCACCAUGCAUUUCCUUUGACUUAUCCAAGUCUUAAGUGAAAUUUUCAGAUUUUUCCAAAGUUUUGGUGGAGCAAAUUUUUCAAAAUUACACUUUUACCCUCAAACUUUUCAAAAAUUGCCUUUUUUGCCCUAAAAAUUAAAAAUUUACCAUAAUGCAUAAUUUUCACUCCUCAUACUCAUUUCACACUCCAAAUAAUUAAAUUUGAUCAAAAUCCUUUCAAAAAUUAAAUUUUUGAUUUCAGGUGGCAAAAUUACCAUUUUGCCCUUAUACUCUAAAAAUACCGAAAACUCAUAUUUUUCACUGCUAAAUCUUCCAAUUGUACUUCAAUACUCAUAUCAUACUCAAACAUGUCAAAUGGGGCUAAGAAAAUCUUUUCUAAAAUUCUCAUUUGUCCUCAAAUUGCAAAAUGACCAUUUUGCCCCUAGAUAGUGAAAAUUUCAGUUUGACUCCAAAUUGAUCCUCGAACUCUGAAUUGCCAUUUUGAGUCAUCCCUAAACUAUGAAACUCUUAAUUUCACCUUAAAAUUCCUAUUUGAACUAGUUCGAGGCUUAAUUGACUUAAUGGUACCAUUAGGGGCAAUAUCGUCUUUUAACGAUGCCUCGAACUUGCUAUAUAUGCAAGCAUUCUAUUGAGCAUGUAAAUGAUGUCAUAAUUAUUUUAUAGAACAGGGUUUGACAUAUCAGAUCCAUUACUGAUCGAUUUGUCGAUGAAAUACUUUGUGAGUAACUUAUCGACGCAAUAUUCCAUCAUUGAUGGAUUUCCCAUUACCGACCAUGCUAUUAUUGAUGAAUUUUAAGGGAAAUUUUUGUCAUAAUUUUCAUUGAUAAUCUUGACUAUUACAUACAAUAAUUUUUGUCAAUAAUGCUUGGUUUUUUCUUAGUGCGAGUUGGUUAUAUAAUUAAAUUUACUGACAUAAUUGUCAAAAGAAAAUUUUAGUUGGUGCUCGGGAUUGACGUUUGAUUAAUAUAUGAUCGUACUUUCCUUAACAAAAUAUCUGUUGGCAUUUUGAAAAAAAUCUAUGGGUAAACAACUAACAUUUAUGUUAGGCAUCAAUGAUCCAAAUUUUGUUGGUAUUUCCAUUGUUAUGUUUUAGAUCCCUAACACUUCAUUUUCCAUUUACUGAAAAAAUUAGCAAAGCAUAAUUCCGUCGGCAAGUGUGAUUGACAUUUGAGUUUGCCUUUCAUGAUUGACAAAAAUUUUAUUGGCAUUUUGGAAACUAUGUUGGUAAUUUCGUUGCUAUUCUUUUGACCCUGGAAGCUUUAUUUUCCAUUUACCAAUGGAAAUAGCAACAAAUGUUUCCAUUGACAAGCGUGACUGAUGUUUGAUUAAGCUUUGAGUUUACCAACCCUAAUCGACGAAAUUUUCGUUGGUAUUUUGAAAAUUUCGUUGGUAUGUUCAUUGCAAUGUUUCUAUCCCCAGACACUUUAUUUUCCAUUUACCGACAAAAGUAGCAAUGGAGAAUUUCGUUGACAAGCAUGAUUGAUGUUUGAAUUUACUUUCUUAAUUAACAGAAAUUUUGACACCAUUUUUGGAAAAUUCUGUUGGUUCACUGCUGACAUUUGAAACAACCAUUUUCUAUGAAAAUUUUGUUGAGAUUUUCUGUCGAUAUUUCUAUCGGUACCUUCUAUAUAGACAGACAUAGUCCAUCGGUAGUGUUCACCCCAAAUUGCUUUUAUGGCCUGCCAAACCAACACCCAUCGAGUACCGAUAGGAUAGCUUUUGUCAUUGUUUUAUUGGAAAAUUGCAUAGAUGUUGUCUAUUGAAAAAUCCGUCGACAAUAAGUCAGAAUUUACUAACAGAGUAUUGUCGACAGAAACAUUUGCGUCGGUGAAGCUUAAAUUUCUAGCAAUGAAUGUCAUUGAUCUCUGCUGCUACUCUAGCUACAAUCACAACAUGCAAUAUAAUGAUCACAACAAUACUGAGAUGACAAACCAGAAUGCAUUGGAAAAAACAUUACAAAAUUCAAAUUAAAAAAUCGAUGAAUUAAGAAGACAUAACAUUCUCUUUGCAUGUGCAACAAAAGACAAGGAACCACCUGUAUGUUUUGAUCUGUCGCCUUCCUUCACUGUCAGGUAGUUCUACUUAGCCUUUUACAAUCGGCGCAGUUACUGGAUUAGUUGCGUCUAGACUUUUGCAGUGAUCCAUAGUCGAGACAUCCUUUUGGUCUCGAUGAUGUUUUCUAUCACGACCCAAAUCCCGGGCCAUGACCGGUGUGAGGGCUCAAUGGACAUAGCCCACAAGCCCAAGCAAGCCUAGCUAUAUUAUCCUACUCAUUAUUCCAUCAAAUUACUAUAGUCACAUUUCAUAAUUUAGAAUUCAGUUAAUGCUAUUCAUUGCCAACUUAUAAUGGCAUUACCAACUAAUAUACAUGUGUUGUCUAAACAUAUGUCUUAAUAAUUUACAUUAGGUCUGUCUAUACACAACAAAAGAGUACUCGACUUCCAGCAGAGAGACUCGAAUGAAUGUACAGCUACUAAAUGCCGAAACACCUACCAAGGGUCAAAUAUACGAAGACACUUCGACCUAGUUACCAGCUGGCUCGUGAUUUGAAAACAUGAAGUUGAAAACGAUGAGUAUAAACCCAGUGAGUGAACAAGGAAGGGAACAAGCAACAGUACGGAAGGAUUUAAAAAUCAUGAUGCAUUUAUUUCAAAACAAUGCAAUUUAAUUUAGUGCUUAUUAAAACCCUUCAGGAAAACCCGAGAGUUUCUCGCUGUAGCGAGAAUGAAUCUCGCUACAGUGAGAAAUAGGGCACUAGCAAAAAUUCCCCAUUUCCUCAAGAAAAGGCCACCUUGUUCACAUGACAUAUGCAACAUGAAACACAUAUAAAUUCCAAAAGCUUAAUAUGUCAAAUUUCACAUGCAUUUCAACCAUAUACAUAUUCAUGAACUUUCCAUGACACAUAUAUCUAUAUAUAUGUGUAUAUAUAUAUAUAUAUAUAUAUAUAUAUAUAUAUAUAUAUAUAUAUAUAUAUAUAUAUANNNNNNNNNNNNNNNNNNNNNNNNNNNNNNNNNNNNNNNNNNNNNNNNNNNNNNNNNNNNNNNNNNNNNNNNNNNNNNNNNNNNNNNNNNNNNNNNNNNNNNNNNNNNNNNNNNNNNNNNNNNNNNNNNNNNNNNNNNNNNNNNNNNNNNNNNNNNNNNNNNNNNNNNNNNNNNNNNNNNNNNNNNNNNNNNNNNNNNNNNNNNNNNNNNNNNNNNNNNNNNNNNNNNNNNNNNNNNNNNGUCCACAUCAACAUACGAAAGAAACACCCAAUGCAUAUUAUACAUAUCAUCAUAUUGUGAUAACACAUAAACCAUUUAUAUAGCACAUUUUCACAAGAUAAAAACACUUCACCAAAGGCUUGUUCCCAAGGUAUAUUUUUAAAGAAAAGAUGGAUAAAAUCUUUCAAAUGUUUGUACAAUUACAUUCACAUUCCCAAGAUAAAUUUUGAAAUGCAAGUCUACUCACCGGUAUUAUUUGAGCCUAUAGCAGAUCCUAACUCCCCUAAUUGUCCAAAUGGGAUGAUGGGGCUUUAUUGGAACCUAUCAUCACAUUAGCAUGACCAAUUUGUCAAUUCACAUACUUAUAAAGUCUAAAGUUUUCUCUUAGCUAACUUCCAAUUGUCAUUUAAAUGGCUAUCUAUUUUCACUACCCUAAUCACUCUAAAAUGAGUGGAUAACCUCAACUACAAACAUUCACAAUUCCUUAAAAUAUCUACCACCACAUGCUAUCCAUAAUUUUCGCAGUUAAAAUAAAUCAUACUUAUAGGUAUAUAUUUUAGAAAAUUUUUAAAAUUGACACCCCUCUACUUACCUUGGUAGCUUGAAACUUUGAAAUUCUUUCCAAUAAAUUUUCCAAGCUAUUAUGGGAGCUUUCUCUCUCUUUCUCUCUCUAAACACCUAGCUAGUGAGAGGAAGUAUGAAAGUGGGAUUUUUCAAGGGUUUUAAAGUGAGAGAGUGAAAGAGCACAAGGAUUUCAUGAAAAUGUGCACUGAGGCAUGAAAAUUGGAGCUAGAGAGAGAAAGUUAUGGAAGCUUGAAGAUGACUCCCAUUGAGGAUAAGGAAAGGUGGGAUCAGAAGAAGAAGAAGAAGAUGAAGUGUUGGAAAUCUGAGGAAGGUGCUGGAGAAUAAAGAUAUUUAUAGUAAAAGCUUAUCCAAAUUUUCAUGAAAUUAUAAUAAUGCCCUUAGUAAUGCCACUUAUCUUCCUCUUGUUCUUGUGAAAUCUUUUACUCUUUUGACACUAGGGAAAGGUCCAAAAUCCUGUAAAGAAGUCCCUCAAGUAACCCCCAAAAGUACUAGCUUCAAAAACCCCAAAAUUUUGUUAUUUGUGAAAUUUACGGUGAGGGCCGCGACUCUCAAUUUCCAGUGUCGCGGUGCUCAAACAUUUUGCCAAUUUUUGUUCUUUUGGCACAGUCCUUUCACUUCAACAAAGAUUUUGACCACAUUCCCGCCAGAAAUAAGAAAAGUGGUAAACAUGAAAGUUGUAGCCCUGCCUCUUAGCUUUCUAAUGGUUAAAAAUCAUGUUAUUUGGAUUUCUAUAGUGGGAGAUAUAGUUGAGAAACCAAAACAUAUGCAAACAGGGCUACUGUUCAUUAUGCACCUUUCUUCACCAAUUAAAAUUAAUUUUGAUGCCACUCCUAAAAUGACAUAAAAUAAUUAUAAGUAAUGUAAAACUAACAUCAUUAGCUUAAAUUAAACCUUUAAACAUAAGUUCCACCUCGAGUUACGCGUCUAUGAAGGUUGAGGUUUCACAUUUUCGUUAUGGGCCUCCUUUUGCAUGGGCAUCAUGUCAAAUAAGCGAUUAGAAAUUUGAAAUUGCACCUUCUAUUUAGAAUCAAUGUGUUGUAACGACCCCUCCUUGGUCGCUACUGGUGUCCGAGACUACUAAAGAAUUUUCGUUAUGUCCCGAACAAGCCUCUUUUAAAACUUUCGCUAGAUUCAUUAAAUACAUAUAAUCAAAUCACGUGCGUAAACGAAUAUUAAUAAUUAAAUUACUAUAUACUCCAUUCAAAAUAAUAACAAUUCACGUUUAUAAGUUAACAAUAUUUUUUUUUAACAUCUAGCAAUUUUGUUUCGACACAACCCUAUACAGCGGAGUGACUCAGAGCCGGGUUAGGAGAUGCCUUUACCUACUCUGUGGUGGUUCGUAUGCACCGAUAGUUACACAUUAGACUGAUGUCUAUUUGUAAAAAGGAAAAAUAAGAGGGGUGUGAGUCUCAUAGACUUAGUGAUCAUCAUCGACCCGGUGAGUAGGCUAGGAGGGGAAACAAACAUAAAGGUGGAAUGUUUAUAAACCCAAGAGUAAGCAUAGAAAAUACAUUCUAUAAAACUGAGAGAUUUUUGUUUUUAUACCUUGCAAUUCUUAAAAAAAAUAAUUCUUAAAUAAACAUGUAUGAAAACAGUUGUAUUUAGGAUACUAGAAAAUCUUUCAACCCCGACAUGCAGUCAACAUUAAAUUCAAUGGCAAGUGAAAAAUAAAAAUUCUUAAAUAUAAAAUGGCUGAUUUAAUUGAUCACUAAUGAAUAGGUAAAUUUCACUUGCCAUUAAAUAAAUAAAAAUUUUCAAGUAUUAAUGCCAUGCAUAGUGAAAUAAAAAUCUACAAAUGACCAUCAUACUCUAGUAGGUUUAAUAUAGCCCUUAGGCUUACUCUCUUAGAUAUCAUCACCUACUCAUGGGAAUUACCCACGCCACCGUAUAUAAAUCGGGGCUUUAGGUCCCAUUUUGUCUACUUAUGGGAUUUGCCCACAUCACCAUAUAUAAAUUAGGGCUUCAGGUCCCCCUUUGCCUACUCGUGGGAUUUGCCCACGCCACCAUAUAUAAAUCGAGGCUUCAGGUCCCCCUUUGCCUACUCGUGAGAACUGCCCACCCCACCCAAUAUGAAUCAGGGCUUCAGGUCCCCAUUUUACAAUCAAAUAUAAAAAAUUAUUGCAAUUUCAAGCAUUUGCAAAGCAUAAUAGUUUGUAUACAAUAUAAUCAUAAAUCAAUGUUGUGCAUAUUUUAUCUCAAAGCAUGGUAUAUUUACCAAAUCAGCUUGCUAAUUGAAAUAGUUAAUCUAUCAUCAAGUUUUAUGAAUCAAUACAAAGGCCACUGGCCUAAACACCAUACAAACUUGCAAGGUACAAUUUUGAAGUGAAAGCCAAUCAAAAGUUUGUUUCCCUACAUUUAAAAACAUGUAGAUAUAUAUACUUAUAUAUAUUUUAAUGAAAAGCGGAUAUAACAUCCUUGUCACAAGCACAAACAACCUAAAGCUUUCUAUCAACUCAUGCUGUUCACAAUUUCGUCAACUAUCAAAUGUAACAUAUAUAAUAUAUUAUAGGAAAACAAUUUUAAAAUCUAGCACCCACUCACCUCACAAUAGCGGGACGCUACUUCGCUAUUGGUUCUUGCGUAUAUUUGGCUAUUCUCUCUUUUUUUUUUCUCCUCUGUCGCUGCUCCUUCUCUCCUUCUUCUUUUUUUUCUUUCUCUUAUUUCUUCCCUCUCUUUCUUCUCCUUUGCCGCUGCUCCUUCUCUCAUUCUUUUUCUUUUUCUUUCUCUUAUUUCUUCUCUUUCUUUUUUCUCCUCUGCCACUACUCUUUCUCUCAUUCUUUUUCUUUUUCUUUCUCUUUUUUUUCCCUCUCAUUCUUCUCCUCUGUGUCGUGCUCCCUCUUCCUUUCUUCUUCUUUUUCUCUUUCUUUUUCUUCUCUCCUUUCUCUCCUUGUCGUCAUACUUCCUCUCUCUUUCUUUUUCUCUUUCUCUUUUUUUUCCCUCUCUUAUUUCUCUCUUCGUCGCAGUGCUCCCUCCCUCUUUCUUCUUCUCUUUCUCUUUUUUUUUCCUCUCUCCUUUCUCUCAUCGUCACUAUGCUCCCUCUCUCUUUUCUCCCCCUCGGGCCCCCCACUCUCUUUCUUCUCUUUCCUCUUUUGUCUUUUUAUGAGUGGGGCAUCAUAGUCUCCCCCACUUAAAACAAAUUCAUCCUCGAAUUACAUCAACAUAGAGACACUUAAUAGUACAUUUAACUCUGAAACAAAUAUGGAUAUUCUGCUCGCGUUUCCUCUUUUAGUUCCCAAGUCGCCUCUUCUACCGAGUGGUUUUGCCAUACUACUUUCACUAAGGCGAUGUCUUUAGAGCGAAGGCUUUUUACUUGAUAGUCCACUAUAGCUACAGGUUGCUCUUGGUACUUCAACCCAUCCUUUAACAAUAUCGUAUCAUGUUGUAUCACAUGUGAAGGGUCUUGAACAUAUUUUCUGAGCAUGGAUACAUGAAACACUAGAUUAACCCCUUCAAAAUCUAGUGGUAAUGCCACUCGAUAAGCAACAGCUCGUACACGUUCUAGUAUUUCAAACGGGGCCAAUAUAUCAAGGAUUGAGUUUGCCUUUCUUACCAAAUCUUCGUACUUCUUUACAUGGUGACACUUUCAGAAACACAUGAUCACCUACUUCGAACUCUAGGGGCCUGCGUCUGUUGUCGGCAUAUGACUUUUGUCUACUUUGAGCAGCCAACAUUCGUUCUCGAAUUAUUUGUACUCCUUCCACUGCUGCUUGUACCAUCUACGUCCCCAAUAAUUUCCUUUCUCCAACUUUCAACCACCCAAUGGGUGACCUACACUUCCUCCCAUACAGUGCCUCAAAUGGCGCCAUCUUAGCACUCGCCUAAUAACUGUUAUUGUAUGCAAAUUCUGCCAAAGGCAAGUAUAAGUUCUAAGAAACUCCAAAUCCAACACGAUUGCUCUUAACAUAUCUUCCAAUAUUUGGAUAGUGCGUUCUGACUAACCGUCUGUCUGAGGGUGGUAUGCUGUCCUAAAGUUCAGUGGGUCCCUAAUUCAUCUUGCAACCUCCUCUAAAAUCGACUAGUAAAUUGUGGUCCCUUUUCGGACACAAUGGUCACCGGUACGCCAUGGAGUCUAACAAUUUCAAUAAUGUAAAUUCGAGCGUUUUGUGCCACCCCAAACAUUGUCUUGACUAGGAAAAAAUGUGCUAACUUAGUCAACCGAUCUACAAUUACCCAUAUGGAAUCGUAUCCUCCUUUGACUCGGGGCAUGCUUAUUACGAAAUUCAUGGUGAUAUGUUCUCAUUUCCAUUCAAGUAUCGGUAACGGUUGUAAUAAUCCUGAAGGUAUUUGAUGCUCUACCUUCACUCGUUGGCAGACCAAACAUCUCAAAACAUAUUCCCCUACAUCCUUCUUCAAUCCUUGCCACCAAUAUACGGAUCUUAAAUCCUGAUACAUCUUGGUAGCUCCCGGAUGUACUGCAUAAGCGGCAACAUGUACUUCCUCUAAAAUUUCUUCUCUUAAUCCAUCCAAGUUUGGCACAUAGAUUCGAGAUCCGUGUUUCAACAAUCCAUCAGACCCAAAAUAAAACUCAGAAACUUGCUCACCCACACUCUCUAAAAUUUUCAUUACAAAUGUAUCUCUAGCUUGGGCAUCUCAAAUUCGAUCUAUCAGUAUUGGUCAGACCUUAAAAUGUGCCAAUAGUGCAUUUGACCCACUGACCUCAAAUUUAACUCCCAUAUUACCCAGAUCCUGUAAUUCUUGCACUAUCGAUAUUCUCGCCACUGCAAUGUGUGCCAUACUGCCCAUUGACUUCCGACUCAAUGCAUCAGCUACGACAUUCGCCUUGCUGGGAUGGUAGAGUAUUGUACAAUCAUAGUCUUUCAACAAUUCCAUCCAUUUGCGUUGCCUUAAAUUUAGAUCUCAUUGUUGAAAUAUAUACUUCAAACUUUUGUGAUCCGUAUAUAUUUCACAUGUUUCCCCUUAUAAAUAAUGCCUCAAUAUUUUUAAGGUAAACACGAUCGCUACCAUCUCCAGAUCGUGUGUAGGAUAAUUUUGUUCAUGCUUCUUAAGUUGUCUGAGGCAUAAGCGAUGACUUUACCAUGCUGCAUCAAUACACAUCCUAAUCCAACCCUCAAAGCAUCAAAAUAAACAGUGUAGCCCUCGGACCCACAUGGCAGACUUAAUACAGGUGCUAAAGUCAAGCAAGCUUUUAAUGUUUGGAAACUAUGUUCAAAAGCCUCUAACCAUUCAAAUUUUACUCCCUUUUGAGUUAACCUUGUUAACGAAGAGGCUAUCUUAAAGAAAUCUUUCACAAAUCAUCGAUAAUACCCAGCCAAUCCUAGAAAACUCCUAAUUUCCAUAACUGUCGUGGGUCUAGCUUAAUUCUCAAUUGCCUCCACUUUACUAGGAUCUACUUGUACUCCAUCCUUAGAUACAAUAUGUCUCAGAAAACCAACACUACUCAACCAAAACGCGCACUUAGGAAAUUUCGCGUACAGUCUAUGCUCCCGUAAGGUUUGUAGCACGAUCCUUAAAUGUUGUGCGUGCUCUUCCCAACUUCUUGAGUAUAUUAGAAUGUCAUCAAUAAAGACGACCACAAAUCUAUCUAGGUAUGCUCGAAACACCCUAUUCAUCAAGUCCAUGAAAGCAGCAGGAGCAUUCGUUAAUCCAAAAGACAUCACCAAAAAUUCAUAAUGUCCAUACCUCGUACGGAAUGCGGUUUUGGGUAUGUCUUCUUCCUUGAUCCUUAAUUGAUGAUAUCCAGACCUUAAAUCAAUCUUCGAAAAGCAUUGAGCCCCUUGCAGCUGAUCAAACAAAUCAUCAAUUCUGGGAAGCGAAUAUUUAUUUUUGAUCGUGACUUUAUUAAGCUACCGGUAAUCUAUACAGAGCUUGAGACUACCAUCUUUCUUCUUUACGAACAGCACUGGUGCUCCCCAAGGUGACACACUCAGGCGAAUAAAGCUCUUGUUAAUUAAAUCUUGCAGUUGUUCCCUUAACUCCUUUAACUCUAACAGUGCCAUUCAAUAUGGAGGCAUCGAUAUUGGUUGCGUUUUUGGAAUCAAAUUGAUACAAAAUUCAAUUUCCCUUUGGGGAGGAAAUCUGGGCAAUUCUUCUGGAAACACAUCUACAAAUUCAUUUACUACAGGUGCAGCUUCUAAAUUUCCUUCUUCACUCUGUACUUAUCUAGUAAUUGUAGCCAUCACACUAUCAACCAAAUGGCUACUGUGACCAUAAUUAACAAAUGACGGCUCUCUAGGAAAUUUAAACUUCACCAAUUUGUGAUAACAAUCUACAUUAACAUAGCAAGAUGCCAGCCAAUCCAUUCCCAGUAUCACGUCGAAUCCCAAUGUUGUCAUUAACACUAAGUCCACCCAAGUGUCCCUAUCUUUAAUCUGGACCACACAAGAACGAAACACAUACUUCGCAACAUAUGAUUCUUCCAACGGGGUGGUUACUACUAACGAUUCAUCCAUAUAUUCAUAAUGCGUGCCUAAUUUAGGCAUGAAAUUUGAAGACACAAAAGAAUGGGUGGAUCUUGGGUUAAAUAAAACUGAUGCUUCGUAACCAUAAAUGAAAAGAUUACUUGUUACCACUGCAUUCGAGACAUAAGCAUCUUGUGGUGUCAGAGCGAACACUCUAGCUUGUCCCCCUCUGGAAACACCUUGUUGAGUUGGCCCUAUCGAUCUACCUCGUGACGAGGAAGCUACCCAUUUUCCUUUAUCCCUUCUAACAUUUCUAGUUGGUGCGGUAGCAAAAUCGGGUCAUAUGGAGCCACGAGCCAUCUCCUGGUUAUGUCUAUGGGUAGGACAAUCCCUCUUCACAUGACCAAUUCCCCCACACUCAUAGCAGAACACCGUCAUCUGGUUACAUGGCCCUGUAUGAAUUUGACCAUAAAAAGUGUAGAAAGGACCCCACUAACCACUCUGUCUAGGAUUUGAAUUAGUCAUCCCAUUACUCAUAGCCCGUAUGUAAUUAACCCCACUAAAAUCACUGCUAUGUGGGGGACUACGAAAUUGAAAAUUUCUUUUUGAUUUGGUGGACUGGAGAAUGUUGACCCUCUGAGUAAGUUACCAUCCCUUCGACCUUGUUGGCCAGCUAUAUUAACAUCUUUACCCCUACUAGGGUCUUUGUAUCUGGAAGAUUCUUCACCUCGAUUUCUUUUACUUCUCUCUCUCUCCACCCCAACCUCUGUAUGUCCCAUCUCAAUUUUUCUAGCAACAUCAACUACUUCAAGAUAGGAUGUAAAUCUCUAAGAGACUAGAAUUCUGUAUAUUGGCCUAUGUAACCCUUUAAUGAACCUCUUGAUCCUCUCCCUUUCAGUCUGAACCAAAUAUAGGGCAUAUCUUGACAACUGAGUAAAUUGGAUGUCAUAAUCUAACACUGUCAUCCUAAGCACCUGCAUUAAAGUUUCAAACUCUUGUGCCUUAGUGUCUUUCACGCUUUCAGGUAGAAAUCUGUCCAUGAAAGCCUAUGUUAAUUCUUCCCAAGAAAGUGGAGUAGAACUAGGAGGUCUACAACGCUUGAGCGUAGCGAACCAUAUCUACAUUACCUCCGUCAAUCUAAAGCCUGUCAACUCAACUGCCCGACAACUAGAACAAUCUAAUGCAGUACAAAUAUUAUCCAUUUCAUCUAAAAAUACUUGCGAGUCCUCUGUUGAUUUAGCACCCAAAAAGGAAGGGGGUUUCAAUUUCAUAAAUUCACCUAGAGUCACCAUGACAUUUCCCCGAUCUAUUUCCUCAUAAGGUUGAUAAUCCGAAUCUUCAAAACUAGAACCCAUUGCUUCAUUUGGUUGAUACACUCCUUGUCUCCUAAACUCUGCAAACUCCUGGGUUAACUCUCACAAUCCAGCCGCUAUCUCCUCUAGGGUGGCAGUGGGCACCUUAGGAUAAUCACUUCCCGUAUCCUCAAAACUGGUACCAGCUCUCCUCUCGCUGAAACUUUGACUGCCUUGAGGUCCGACGAUUCGACCUCUAGGUCCACCUCUCCCACUGCUCCUAGAGAAAGAUGCACACGGUCCCUCCGUAGCAUCAUUUGGCGUAUUAAACCCUCUAAUUCCUCUUGAGGCGGCUCGCGUCUUAGGGGACAUCUCGGUACCUAGAUAACAACAAACACUCUUCAAAUAACUAUUAAAAAUCAUUAAUAAAUGUGGCUUACUAAGAUUAGGGAAUUCAUGUAGCCUUCUAUCCAAAAUUCAUGUUGCAAUCAUGAACCAUGGAUAAGACUCUACACUACCCCAACACUCCGCUGAUAACACAAGAAAUCUUAAGACUUUUCUAAACUUAGGGCUCUGAUACCAAUAUUGUAAUGACCCCUUCUUGAUCGCUACCGGAGUCUAAGACUUCUAAAGAAUUUUUACUACGUCCCGAACAAGCCUCUUUUAAAACUUUCGCUAGAUUCAUUAAAUACAUAUAAUCAAAUCACGUGCGUAAGCGAAUAAUAAUAAUUAAAUUACUAUCUACUCCAUUCAAAAUAAUAACAAUUCAUGUUUAUAAGUUAACAACAUUUUUUUUCAACAUCUAGCAAUUUUGUUCCGACACAACCCCAUACAGUGGAGUGACUCAGAGCGGGGUUAAGAGAUGCCUUUACCUACUCUGCGGUGGUACAUAUGCACCGAUAAUUACACAUUAGACUGAGUCUCAUAGAAUCAGUAAUCAUCAUCGACCCCGUGAGCAGGCGAGGAAGGGAAACAAACAUAAAGGUGGAAUGUUUAUAAACCCAAGAGUAAGCAUAGAAAAUACAUUCCAUAAAACUGAGAGAUUUUUGUUUUUAUACCUUACAAUUCUUAAAAAUAAUAAUUUCCAAAUAAACAUGUAUGAAAACAGUUGUAUUUAGGAUACUAGAAAAUCUUUCAACCACGACAUCCAGUCGACAUUAAAUUCAAUGGCAAGUGAAAAAUAAAAAUUCUUAAAUAUAAAAAGGCUGAUUUAAUUGAUCACUAAUGAAUAGGUAAAUUUCACUUGCCAUUAAAUAAAUAAAAAUUUUCAAGUAUUAAUGCCAUGCAUAGUGAAAUAAAAAUCUAUAAAUGAGCAUCAUACUCUGGUAGGUUUAAUAUAGCUCUUAGGCUUACUCUCUCAAAUAUCACCACAUACUCGUGGGAACUACCCACGCCACCAUAUAUAAAUUAGGCUUCCGGUCUCCCUUUUUGCCUACUCGUGGGAUCUACCCAUGCCACCAUAUAUCAAUCGAGGCUUCAGGUCCCCCUUUGCCUACUCGUGGGAUCUGCCCAUGCCACCAUAUAUAAAUUGGGGAUUCAGGUCCCCUUUUGCCUACUCGUAGGAACUGCCCACGCCACCCAAUAUGAAUCAGGGCUUCAGGUCCCCCUUUUACAAUCAAAUAUAAAAAAUUAUUGCAAUUUCAAGCAUUUACAAAGCAUAAUAGUUUGUAAACAAUAUAAUCAUAAAUCAAUAUUAUGCAUAUUUUAUCUCAAAGCAUGAUAUAUUUACCAAAUCAGCUUGCUAAUUGAAAAAUAUAAUCUAUCAUCAAGUUUUAUGAAUCAAUACAAAGGCCACUGGCCUAAACACCACACAAACUUCCAAGGUAUGAUUUUGAAGUGAAAGCCAGUCAAAAGUUUGUUUCCCCAUAUUUAAAAACAUGUAGAUAUAUAUACUUAUAUAUAUUUUAAUGAAAAGCGGAUAUAAAAUCCUUGUUACAAGCACAAACAACCUAAAGCUUUCUACCAACUCAUGCUGUUCACAAUUUCGUCAACUAUCAAAUGUAACAUAUAUAAUAUAUUAUAGAAAAAUAAUUUUAAAAUCUAGCACCGACUCACCUCACAAUAGCGAGACGCUACUUCGCUAUUGGUUCUUGCGUAUAUUUGGCAAUUCUCUCUCUUUUUUUCUCCUCUGCCGCUACUUUUUCUCUCCUUCUCUUCUUUUUCUUUCUUCCCUCUCCUUUUUCUCCUUUGUCGUUGCUCCUUCUCUCCUUCUUCUUUUUUUUCUUUCUCUUCUUUCUUCCCUCUCUUUCUUCUCUUCUACCGCUGUGCUCCCUUUCCAUUUCUUCUUCUUUUCUCUUUCUUUUUCCUCUCUCUUUUCUCUCCUCGUCGUUUUGCUCCCUCUCUCUUUCUUUUUCUCUUUCUCUUUCUUUUUUCUCUAUCCUUUCUCUCCUCGUCACUGUGCUCACUCUCUAUUUCUUCUUCUCUUUCUUUUUCUUUUUCCUCUCUCUUUUCUCUCCACAUCGUCGUGCUCACUCUCUCUUACUUAUUCUCUUUCUCUUUCUUUUUCCUUUCUCCUUUCUCUCCUCAUCGUCGUGCUCCCUCUCUCUUUUCUCCCCCUCAAGCCCCCUACUCUCUUCCUUCUCUUUCCUCUUUUGUCUUUUUAUGAGUGGGGCAUCACAUGUGCUUUCGUGCAAACUCUGGGGGUUAUCAUUAGAUGUGGGGCGCAUGGUAUAGGGAAGUCAAAACUGACACAUUUUAUCAUUAGGCUUUUGGAAAAGGAAGUUAUUUAGUGGCGUGAAGAAAACUGUGGAAGUGUUCUAGUCCAGCUUGAUGGACAUGGGGAGUUCAGCAUUUUAGAUUCGAGUAGUGACACCGAGUAAAUUAAUUAAUGUAAUAUCAGCCACAGGUUUUCCUUAUCA